rnacentral:lncRNA from 1 species
UUUUUUUUUGUGUUUUUUUUUUUUUUUUUUUUGUUUAUCCUUUUUUAACCAAUAAUUACCCCGGCAAAAAAUUCAACCCACCGAUCGAAAAUAUAAACAUACACCAUUCUAUAUAUAAAAAGAGAACAUAAAUUACUAUUAAAUGAAUAAUGUUUGAUUCUCUUGUGAGGGCUUUAUUUGAGUAUACGAGGGCUUUAUUUUGAGCUCACAUAUUACACUUCAUGAGUCUUGUGGUAUUUUUCAUUUUUCAAUUGACAUAACGUAAAGUAUCUCACACUUUCAUUUUGCUAAUACAUUUUCUAUAACAAACAAAAAUCAAUCUAUCUCCACUUAUUCUCUAAAACUUUGCGCACCUGAGGGAUAAUUAUAAUUAUUGGUAAGACUCCAUUAACAACAAUACAAAAAAGUCAACCCCAUAUGUUCUUAAUCGUUUUUCUCUCUAUUUUGCCGGAUAACUAAUAGAUUAAUCUCUCAUUUAUAAAAAUAUUAGGGAUAAUAAAAUGAGAAAAUUAAAUUUCCACCAAGUCCAAAUUCUCAUUCGCCGAGUUUUUCAGCCUUUCGACCGCUUUUCCCACCUACAAAAGUACAAUAAAGGGUCGUUUGGUAAAUGUAACUUUCGGAAUGUGGAACAAAAACUAAUGAAGAUUGUAAGUUGAGCUAAGAACCUCUGCAUCCCAGUUGGUUCUUGCAGUGAUGACAAUCAGUGUCACUGUCUGCAAAACAACUCCUACUAUCAUUCCCCACCAUAUUCCCUGCCCAAAAAAAAUCGAAAUUUGUAGAUCUCGAAACAAUACGAUACUAUUUCGUAAAGGGCUUAUUCUCCUCCAAUGAGUAUGAAUCGACUUACCGCAACUCCCAACGAGGUUUUGAAGCCAAGAACACAUCCAACCGGAAGCCCGAUGAUGUAGUAAGUUGCCAAGUUCACAUAUGCCACCACUCCUUGCCAUCCGCUCCCGAUCGCCACUCCUAGCACCCAAAUAAGUACAAUGAGAUAAUAAUUCGAUUGUGGAAAAAUGUUCGAAGAAAUAUACAUUAUGUCUCGACGUAAUUCUUGAUAAAACGACUCAAGAAACCAAACAGUGUAACGACUGCUUGGUUUCAUCGAUCCUCGUACGAGACGGAUUUUCCGAUACUGCCCUAUAGUGAAUAUGGGGUCAUUACUAUUUUUUCACUAUAACAGAGUGAAAAGUUUGACCAUGGGAAAUCCUUAUGGCUUCAGGAUUUGACUAUAAACUUGUGGGUGAAGUUAAGGAAUCUUGUUACCAGAAAGGAUGGGUUGAAUGCCAUUGAGGAAAACAGAGAUGGCUAGUAAAGGAGUUAGGUCCGAGACCGCCUCCAUAACCUCCGAGUCACUAGUGAACAACUUGCUCAACCCUACUCUGCAUAUCAACACUGCAGCACUGAACACCGAGCUGAUCGCGAUGCUGCUACCGUUCACCACCCCUACCGACAGCUUCGCCACGUUCGGAUGCCCUGCUCCUAGCUCGUUGCUCACCCGAAUGCUGCACCGAAAAGAUUAGGGUGGAAAUGGGUUCACUUUCGACAGAAAAACCGAGUUCAAUCAAGUAGAAGGAUGGAUUAAGGGGGCUGACCUUGCAGCUGCACUGAGCCCCAACAUGAACUGUAUGUCCCAGUUCAAGUAGUACAUGCUGCAAACACAGAUUGCCAUUAUGGCUUUGAUUUGGUUAGGGUGGCUAUAUAACGUUUGUAUUUCGCUUCGUGCAGUCUUUAUUUGUCUUUAAUAAAAAAAAUUAUUUAUUAUUUUGCUAAACAACUCUUAUUGUAUUAGUUUUAUGAAAAGUGAAUCGAUGACAAGAAAGACUUUUGAAGACACUAUUGCUAAACUCAUAGAUUUUCCGAAAAGUGGGAGAAUUGUGUAGCAAUUAUUGAUGAUAAAAUAUGAUACGAGAGUAUAAUAGUUAUUAAGGGUAUGAUAGUUAUUUUAUGAACUGCGCGAAGUAAAACACAGACAAUGAAUUGAAAAUUAGUUAAUUAGAAGAAAAAAGUAAUUCUUUUUUGUUGGGAAAAAUAUUACCAAAUAGAGAUGGAAUCCAAGGCAAUGGUUGGAUUGGAUAGAAGACCUGAUAUAAGAACCAACCCUUGGUUGUACCAUACUUCCAAGCUGUUGGAAAAGAAAAGAAAAACCACACAAUUAGCAUAACCAAAGAGGAGUCGAAACUCGGACCGAUUGUGAUCGGUAGGGCUGUCAAACCGGGUUGGAUGGUACUCAUUUGGAGCCCUACCAAAGCAUGACAGCUGAAGCAAGAGUGAGCUUGAAGUAAGGCCAAAUCCCUCUAAGAGCAACACUCGAGAACCCGGUCCAAGUCUCCUUACAACUAGGGCUCCAGAAAAUGUAGCCAGCAUUCAACGCAACCAAAACCCACCACGAAAAGCUCAGGGUCAAUGCCGCACCAAGGAUGCCUAGCUCCAAGACCUCAACGGCUAGCCAAGUGAGCAAUGUGUGCAAGAAAAACACUCCGACCGCCAUGUAUGCUAACGGGUUCACGAUGUUCUGUGCUUGGAGGAACCUCUGGAGUGGGCAGCUCACUGCGAAUGCAUAGAGCUGCGGGAUGAGCCCCCUGGCGAAGACUUGGCCUUGCUUCGAUAUGGCGGCCGAUUGGCCUAUGGAGAGGAGCACUGGGCCGGAGAAGACGUAGAGGAAGGAGAGGAAGGUUGCUGCUAUGAGAUGAAGGAGGACUGCCCUUUGGCAGAUGAUCCCCAUUGCUGAGUACCGUUUGGCUCCGUACGCUUGCCCACAUACUGUCUGCACUGCACUUGCCAUCCCAAGCUAAAAAAGAAAAGAGAUGUUUCGGUUAACAGGUCGAUCAAGUUACAUGGGUAGAAACAGAACAUAACAAUUGUUAGAAGUUGAGGACCAUAAUUUCUAUGUGCAUACAAACUCGAAUUUAACAGGACCAUAAAACCUAGAUCAACGGGGUUAUGGACCGGUCGAAUCACCACGAAUCAUUAUGGUCAUUCUGAUUCAGAUUUCAAGGUUGACUUAGACAGGUUUGAGUUGUAUAGAGUACGAUACUUACCAUGAUGCCAUAGGCAAGGCCUUGAAUUCCAACAGUAGCAAUGGAGGCACCAGCAAGCUCCAAGGAACCCAAAUGGCCAAUGAACAUGAGGGUCACAAAGCUGAUCAUAUAGUUGAAAACUGACACUACGAUAGCCGCCCACGAUAGCAGCCAGAGCUGCCGUGACUCCCAAGCAAACAUCUGGACCCACCACCGGAAGGUCCUCGAGGUAGUAACCUGCCUCUGCUCCAGCAGCUCCUCAAUGGCAUCAGAGGACAGUUGAGUAAAACCAGAGGAGUUUGAGCUGUGCAGGCUCGAGAGCAGGGGAGAGUAUUCGGUGGCCGAUGAUGCCAUUGAGAAAAUUUGGGUUAACAACGGUGCAGUUGGUGAUAAGGAGUUUUGAGUUGAUAUAGAACAAUUGAAUCAUCAACCAUUCUUAAUCAGAAAGUACCCAAAAGUGGAUACAGAAAGGUAGCUAGUGAAGGAGAGUUGGGAAUGAAUAUAGACCCAUUUAGGUUACCAGUUUUUUUGUCUGUCUGACAACCACUGAAUAAGACUGGUGGUUGAGUUGACCCGAGUUCGAUGCAGCGGUCUUCGAGGUUACCUUCCGGGUCGACGUAAAAGAAAAGACUGGUGGUUAUAACAAGAUGUUCAUAUUUCAUAUUUUACCUUCACAGUGUCAUUUUCUCAAGCAGACGAGCCUGCCUGUAUAUUACUACACUUUACAGCACUGCGAUUCGGGAGAGAGUAGUCAGUCAUCUUUCGCGAGGUACAUUGCCGUGUUAAAAAAAGAAUGUACGAAAAGGAGCAUUACUAUUUGCCUAGUUUCCCAUCUUCUUAAAGGGGAAAAACGGUAUUUGUUGACCUUGACGGUGACGAGGAGAACCCUUUUCCGAUGAUGCAUCACCGUUCGAGCUUUUUCAGUCUAGUAAUCGCCAAUGUUGGCAUUCCGAAGCUUCUUCUGGGGUGGGACCGAAGCCACAGAACUGAGUCCUUCCUUCCCCAUUUGCUGCACUUCGACUGGUGACAGUAUCUUGAUGUACCAGACGUUAUUCACAAAUUCUCUGCAACAACAAGAGGAGAGAAUGUGAACUUCAAAUUCAUGAACUACAAUCCUAGACCCUGAGAGUUAUCGUGGAUUUCGGACAAAGACAGCAUAACAAAAGGGGAAUUCUUACUGCCAAGGGUCGUCGCCGAGGAGAAGGACGUCAUUCUCCCGGUCAACAAAUACAAGCUGCCAGCCUGAUCUCUGAGGGUCCUCUAGUUGGCCUUCGAGGCCAAACAAGCGAGCGAGCUCAACACGCAGUUCAUCAUAGCUGCUGAACGUGGAUAUGUCCAGCGACCGCCCAAAGGACCCUGUUUUGUGAACCUGUCAAAAGAGGAACACAAAAGCGAACAUGAAAAACAAAAACAAUGUUGCAGAUAACUAACUGUGGAACUAUAUACCAAAUGGAAGAGAACAACUAUAGCAGGAUAUCAAAGUCAGAAAGCGAUUAUGAGAAGCAACAUAAACGUUGGUGAAUUUGAGAUUCCUUUUCAUACGACAGGAACUGUAGUUAGAAACAAAAAACGGUAUACUGCAAGCAAAGGCUUUACCAUAACAGCUCUGUUUUAAGCUAAAGAUGAGAAGACACAGGAACAGGGGAUGCCAGAAAGGUCAAUGUUCAGUAAGUUGAGCAGUCUCAAACAAUUACUAGUAAGUGACAAAGAAUUAUGUACAAGACACGGUAAGUCACCAAUUCCGGCAUGCACAAGCAUACGUAAUUGGAAAUAAUCAAUGCAUACCUUCACAAAGGUUCUUGUUGGUGGAUUGACUUGGUCGACAUUUUCAGAAGACUGCAAGUAACCCGAUUCAUCCACACAACUUGAAGUAGUCAUAUCCGAGUUAAGUGGAAGUUCACUCCCAUUAGCAUUCGGGUAAGCAGAAGCGAAUGGCAUAGACAACGGGUCACUUCCAUUCCCAAUAUUUCUCAUAUUUCCAAUGCCAUGCUGGAGCAUAUAGGAUGAAGAAUCAAUGUUAAUCCCAAAUAAGGUGUUAUUUUGUUGAUCUGUAGCACCCUGGUAUGCUGAAUACUCUCUUCCUGGAAAUGGAGGUAGCAAUGUAGCAUGCUCAGAUGCAUUUGACUGUAACAACUGGUCCACCUUGGGCAGUGUACAAUCUGCAAUACCGGGAGAAAAACGUUGACCGUCUGCCACUUGCCUAGACAACAAUGUAGAAGAAACUCCACCACCAUUGGACCCAUUCAGAUUAAACAUAUUGUUUGGUGCUCCAUCUCUUAUCAUUGAACCCAUCACACUGUGCAUCGAGGAAACAUCACCUGCAGCAACGGGAUUUACUACAGGCUCGGAGAAAGCUGGGUGCUGGGAUUGCAGAGAUGCAGAUUGAGACGGAUUGAUGGAUGUGUGAUGGGACAAAGAUGACACAACAUUAGAGGUCUGGUGCUGAGAAGGGGGUUGAUGCUGAGGAGAGGGCUGAUGCUGAGAAGAGGGUCGAUGCUGAGAAGAGAGCUGAUGCUGAGGAGAGGGUUGAUGCUGAGAAGAGGGUUGAUGCUGCAGAGAGGGUUGAUGCUGAGAAGAGAGUUGGUGCUGUUGCUGAGGUUGUUGAACCUGCCGUGACUGAGGUGGAGGAUGUUGAGGUUGCUUCUGUUCUUGCUGCUGAUCAUUAUACAUGGGAUGGCGCUGCAAUUGUUGGUGUAUAAGCUGUGCCUGAGACGAGGCUUGGCUUUCUUGGAAGUUCUGAAGAAAAGCGUGCUGAAGAUUGGACGAAGGCUGUAACAUCUCUCUCUGGAGCAAAGCACCAGGGUCAUUAGAUACAAUCUGUGACGGUGGGAACUGCAUAACUGAUUGAGAACCUAAUUUAGAAGAUUCAACAGCCCGCAUUUCCUGAAGCGCAGCCGCCGCCAUUGCCUGGUAGACAUCAGGUUGCAGAGCCUGAAUAGAAGCAUCAAUCCUUGGCUGAAGCCACGGAUUAACGCCAAAGCCUUGGAAGUUCAUAGAUUGCAUUCCCUGAUCCCCGAGUCCUUGAAGCCACAUCAAUUGAGAAUUUAUAUUCAAAUCGCUAUCCUUGAGACCUAAAUAAACAAAUAUUGAUAGUCGAGCAUCAGAAUCGGAUCCACAUUUAAACAAUUUCCCUACAACUUGAACAAUCUACAAGAGCAUACCAAAGGAUGGCAUGCCAGAUGGCCAAGGUCGCUUCAGUCUCAUAGGGAAUGGUGAUGGAUACAUAGGAAAUGUUGUUAAUGGUUCAAUCUCCCACAAGGAGACUCGUGGCUGUCUCUCCCCCGCAGUAGAUUCAUCCCAACCAACCUAUACAAUGAACAAUGAGUUCAACAUCGAGGGAAAGAAGUGCAGACUACUGAAAUAAUCCCCCCCUUGAUAAAAUACUACGGAAAAGAUCAUAAUAUUCGAACAUAACCUUAACCGAACGCCAAUGUGAAUUUUGCCAACGAACAGGAUCUAGAUCACUGAUCCCAGUAAUGGUACCCAUGUAUCUGGAGAGAAAAAAUGUAGCUAAUCAGUAACUAUCCUAUACUCAGGAAAAUAAGACGCCAAAAGCAACACACAAAUAAAAACAUUGUAUUUGCUCAACAAGAAAAGGCACAAACAAUUAAGAGAGGACAAUGAUGAUGUCUGCAUUAAUAGUAAGCAAUAAUACAAUUCAAUUUUUAUUCCAAGAAUAACCGACAUCUGAAAAGAAAUCACAGAACAGACUUUACUCAUAAAUUAAUAAUACUGGAAGAUAACAUUGUGCCAUUUAUUCCUGGCAUUUGUCAUACAUAAAAAAAUAAGACAUCGAAGUGAAAAGGAAUUCACGCUGUUAAAAUGAGAUCUUAUACAGACACGGAAAGAAAUCCAAUCGAAUUAAGAAUGACACCGAAAAAAUAGUAGACUCAAAGUGAUCGUACUUACCGCCGUACACUUGACUCUUCUGUCUCAAACAGCAUCCUAAAGCGCAUGCCAACAGAGACCCGUGUGUGGUAGACUGCUUUAACAUACUUGGCCAGCGGAAUAACAAACUCUGAGGGACUAGCUCUGAAUUGAGAAGCACGGAUCACCGGAUCAGUACAAGCUACAAGAAAGCAUUUAAUAUAUGUCCAUAAAAACAUGCAGAUUUAACACCUGGGGUUAAAAAAUAUAGUGAAACGACUGUUGGUAGCUGCUGCAUGAGCUGCUGCUGCAAGCAAGCCAAUGUGCAUGCUAUCACUUGAUAACACGGAAGAAGGCAUGAAAGUUUGUGGGCGAUUAGCAUGUCGAAUUCCCAGGAGCAUUUGGUUCUUUUCAUUCCUGAUAAAGGACAUUUUGAUCAGCACAUCUGAUGCAGGAUGACAAACAACACAUGAUUACUAAGAAACACAUCAACAUCAGCUGCAUCUACGAAUUACAUUGGUCCAUAUGCAAGUGUGGGUAUAUCCUUAGAGCAUAAAAAAUGAAUUGGCACGUUACAUAGACAACAAAAACAAGACAUUGACUCAGACAUUAAUAUAAACGAGAGAAUCAACGUAGACUUGAGUAAAAAGUUGGCCUAGUCAGCGUGAGUGGCAAUUGCAGUACAUAUAUAUAUAAUAAGGAGACAUCAGUGGAGCAAUAUGAUAGAACCUAGCAAAUUGGCACUUCCGGCCACCACAUCUAGAAGAGAUUAACAAAAAAACAGCACAGUGGAGAAUGAAAAUCAUCCGUACCAGAUGAAAAUGACAGAAUCACCAGCAACUAGCCUCUUUGCACUGACAAACACACUCCAUCCUGUUGUAAGCAGAUGCCUUUUUGGCUGCCCUGAAAAAUAUAAACAUUGAUAAUAAAAAUCAACAACGGUGUCCCUGGUGUAAUAGAAUAUCUAUACCCUAUAAUACAAACUAAUAAGCAUGAUAGUUCUCCUUUGCAACUUCUCCAAAACCUUAACCAGAUCACAUCCUAUAAUUCUAUUUAGUUCCAAAAGAGCGGUAAAUGCUUUCACUACAUGCAACUCUUCCUGAACCAGAACCUUGACCUUUUUGUCUGUCACUAAGAUACAUAGAUGAACCGGUGACGAAUUAGUAAUGUUACUUUUUUUUGGGUACAAACUAACCUCGAAAAACAUGUCUGAAUUUCCACUCGUUAUCAUGAAGAUCUCUUGCAAUAAGUUCCUGACAAGGAGGAGUCUGAGAGUAAUCCUACAAGGCCAAGCAGUGAAGCCAACAACCAGUAGUAACAAACAACAUUAGAUACCACUAGUUGACAACGUAACAACAACAGAAAACAAGUAAAAACAGAGCAAGUGACCUACAAGAGGAGGAAAGACUUUUUCAGCAGCCCGACGAGGAACAGAAAAUCCCCCGUGAGUACUAGUGUCACUUGCAGUCAGCGUUUUACAGAAGUAGUUGGUCGGCUGUUUGCUGGGAGCACCUAACUCUGCUGGCAGAAGAUAAACUUCCUUUUGCUCUUGCUGAAAAACAAAAGGCUCUUUGUCGGACCACAUAGUUGCAGAGGAGAAAGGAAAAGACGAGAAUCGAAAAUAAAUCAAACAAGUACCGGACUCAACGGUUGCAAUGUCAUUUGAGCAUAGACUUCAUCUGUCUCGAUAUCUGACUGCACUUAGAACCAUUCAAACGUCAGCAACAUCAUUACGAGUUACGACACAACACAACUUAAUCAAAAGUACAGUAUAAGUGAACGCACUCACAUGCAUGGUGACAUUGUGAAGCUGGCAUAUAAGCUGCGGUGGUAGGCUAGGAUAGUUUGGUAUAUGAGCAUCCACUUCCUUGUUAGUUGAAGCUGCAACCUGCAUAAGUAAUCAUUGUUCAUUGAUUAAUGACCUGGGAACUGGUACGGGAAGUCAUCCUUUGAACGUCCAAUUAGAGAAACAAGCUGAAUCAGCGAGCAUCAAAUGCUUAAUUGGAGAUGAAGAGAUGUUAAAACUCGCCUGUUCGCUAUGACCUUGCGGGAAGUAAACAACUCGAGUUCCAAGAGUUGGCAAAGACACGAGAGGUCCGGCGCAUGCAUGCCACAGCUCAGAAUUCAGACACUUGUUAUCACCCACUAUGACAACGAAAACAGAGAAUAUCAUACGAAGUACAGCAUUUCAAAUCCAAUUCAACCUCUCAAACUUUCACAUCAAAAUAUUCAUACAAGGAAAUACCAAUUGAUCAUAACUCCUACCUUCCUGAGCCUGCUGAUUGAACCCAGGGGAAGAGAGCCUCAUUCUUCAGUGGAACCACAAACUUCGAACAAACUCAACCCCAAACCCUAAUUAACCAACAGAACGAGAAGAAGAAAAAAACUAACUAUUGCAGCAACAGCAGUAGUAGUUCUUUGUACGCUGAGCAAACAAUUAGAGAUAAGACUAGCUCACGAAACUGAAGCACAUUUGAAGCAGAGCCCUCCCCCCUCCCCGCCUCAGCCCUACCCCCGAAAUAAUCAAACCAGACAACUACAAAAAGCUGAAUCAAAUCAUCGGAAGCCACUUCCAGGAGAAGCAGCAGGGACUCAGCUCCAUACUACACCUUCUUCAGAUCUCUCUUCUCUACUUCUUCAAGCUAUUCAGUUCCUCGAAACAGCCAAUUUUCUUCAGAUCUCGAGCAGCUGCUGCUACUCCACUACGACUUGGACGGGAAAAGCAAGUAAGAAGCGGGUACGGAGCAUGAAGCAGGAUGAGUAGCUAGCUAGUGGAGGAGGUGGAAAAUGGAGAGGUUUCUAUGGCGGUAUUUGAGUAGAUGUUUUCAGGCUUUUUUGGUUCAGAGAAGCAAAAGAUAGGAAAGGCGUUGUUUCGAGGAAGAAGGAAGAAGAAGAAGAGGAGAAAGGGAGCACUUCCACUGUUGCACAAUUUGACAGAGAGAGAGAAGCAGUGGGCGUGUGUGUACUGUGUCCGAAUUUCGGGUAUUUCCUUUUCCUUUUUUUUAAUAUUUUAUUGUUCUUUUUUUUUUUACUUGUACGUCGGCUCUCAACGGGUUUUCGGCCUUUUUUGGUUAGUGGAAAAAGAAAAUGUUAUAGGUUCGGUUCGAUUCCUAGUUAACCAAAAUAAAAUAAAAAACUGAAAAUUAGAUAAAAACAUUCCAUCGUAUGAAAUUAUCUCGGGUUUCAAUUUUGAUAUCGUUACAAAUUAUAACCAAUUUAUGUGAUCUUUAUUUAGAAUAAAUACAAUGACUAACGUAGGUGAUCCAGUAAGGCUUGGCCAAAACCCGCACAAUAGGCACAUCUUAAAGACGUGUUAAUUUUGCUUGGCUCAUUAAUUUAUAAUUUUGCUCGGCUCGUUGAUUUAUAAUUUUUCUUACCAUCCUUUAUGUAGACGUCUUCGACAUUUCACCAUCUUGAUUUACACCUUUGUAUCGACGUCUUCGACAUUUCACCGUCUUACAAAUUUCUCUUAAUUUCCUCUUUUAGCGACUCCUCGUGUAUUGUUGUUGGUAACGUAUUCGUACUCCGAGACUUGUAUAAUUUGAUGUUUAUGUUUCGUUUUUUCGAAUUGAUUUGGAUGUUUAAUUAUGUCACAAAAGUGUUAAUGCAAUGUCUUCAGCCACCGAGACUUUGGUAUAUUCAAAGUCCUGUCCUCUAAAGUUAAGUAUUUUGUAUAGUGGUCCGAGUGGAGUAGCACUAAUUUUGUGUUUUGGCGACUCGAAGGGUACCUGAUUCGAAUCCAGUCACAUCCCAUAAGUUUCACCAGUAUUUGUUUUGAUUGACUUAAAUUUUAUUUGGAUGAACCAAAAACCAAAUAAUCUCCACCUCUAUGGAUACGUGGGUUGCAACUUGUGAAUGAGAAUUGACUAGACAAGCAGCUAGUCUUUAGUUUCAGAAGUUACCUUCACUGUGCCAUUCAUUCUCAAGUUUUGCAACAACAGUUAAGGCACUAGUGCUGCUACACUUUACAACACUGCAAUUUCCGGAGAGUUAUCGACAUCGAAUAAUCAUUUUUCGCAAAGUGCAUUGACGUGUUGAACAAGGGGUUAAAAAAGAAAGGAGCAUUACUAUUUUGCCUAAGUCCCAAUAAUCUGAAGGGGGGAAUGGUAUUUGUUGACCUUCGCGGUGAUGGAGAACCCUUGGCGUGAUGCAUCAACUUUCGAGAUUGAUGGUGUUCAGCCUAGUAAUCGUCAAUUGUGGCAUUGCGGAGCUUCUUUUGGGGUGGGAUGGAAGCCACGGAGCUCAGACCUUCUUUCCCCAUUUGCUGCACUUCUACUGGUGACAGUAUCUUAAUGUACCAGACGCUAUUCACAAAUUCUCUGCAACAACAACAGGAGACCCAUAGACUCGUGAAAUAAGAUCCUAGGACCUACAAAUUAUUGCGGAUUUCACACAGGAUCGCGUAGAACCAAGCAAAUGCAUAAGAAUUGUAGUAACUAUGGGAACUCUAGCAACUUAACAGGGUGGAAUUCUUAUGCAGUGCAUUUCAAAUACCAAAGGACCGAUUCACAGGUCAAGAAGCCAUGAACGGCAAAAUAGGCGAAAUAAAUGAAACGGGGACUUACUGCCAAGGGUCAUCGCCAAGGAGAAGAACAUCAUUCUCCCGGUCAACAAAUACAAGCUGCCAGCCUGAUCUCUGAGGGUCCUCCAGUUGGCCUUCUAAGCCAAACAAUCGAGCGAGCUCGACACGCAGUUCAUCAUAGCUGCUGAACGCAGAUAUGUCUAGCGAUCGCCCAAAGGACCCCGUUCUGUGAACCUAUCAAUCAAAUAACUAGCACUUUUUCACAUGAUGCAAGCAUAAAAGAAACCAAUGAGCGAGAAUGAUUAAUGAAAUCUGAAUUCUGAUUUUUUUGCACAUAACUCACUGUGGAACAAUUCGACUACAGAAGGAUAACAAAGUCGGAAAAUAAUUAUGAACCACGAGCUCGUGACUAAGAAAUAAAAGUACCACCUACAAUGUUCAUCCGAAGCGAUAUAAACACAGUGUAGUCAUAUCUGAAAGCUUUUCAUGUAAUAAUAGGAACUCGCAAGUCGCAACUAAAGGCUUUACCAGUACAGCCCAGUUUACCCUAAAGAUAGGAAGACAGGGAAACAGGGGAGGCCAACAAAACUAGUAUUCAGUAAAUUAAGCACUCUCAAACGGUGCCCAUUCUACAUUUCUGCAUGUGAACAAGAACAAUAAAUUACAGCAGACGAGUGGCCAAGAAUCAUGUAUAAGAAACGGUACCAAACUUGGGCAUGCACAAGCAUGUACUUAAAUGGACAUAAUAAAUGCAUACCUUCACAAAGGUUCCUGUUGGUGGAUCGACUUGGUCAACAUUCUCAGCAGACUGCAAGUAACCCGAUUCAUCCACACAGCUUGAAGUAGACAUAUCUGAGUUAAGUGGAAGUUCACAUCCAUUAGCAUUCGGGUAAGUAGAGGCAAAUGGCAUAGACAACGAGCUACUUUCACUGCCAAUAUUAUUUGCAAUACCAUGCUGCAGCAUAUAGGAUGACGAAUCGAUGUUAACCCCAAACAAGGUGUUAUGUUGCGGAUCUGUAGCAUCCUGGUAUGCUGAAUACUCUCUUCCUGGAAAUGGAGGUAGCAAACUAGCAUGUUCAGAUGCAUUUGACUGCGACAUCGGGUCCACUUUAGGCAGCGCACAAUCUGCAAUACCAGGAGAAAAAUGUUGACCAUCGGCCACUUGCUUAGACAACAAGGUAGAAGAGAUUCCACCACCAUUGGACCCCUUCAGAUUAAACAUGUUGGGUGCUCCAUCUCUCAUCAUUGAGCUCAUCACACUGUGCACCGAAGAAACAUCACCUGUGGCAACGGGAUUUACUACAGGCACAGAAAAAGCCAGCUGUUGGGAUUGCAGAGAUGUAGAUUGAGGCAGGUUGACAGAUGUGAGAUGAGACGGAGAUGACACUACAUUAGAGGUCUGAUGCUGAGAAGGUAGUUGAUGCCGCGGUUGCUGAGGUUGCUGAACCUGCCGUGACUGAAGCUGCGGCUCUUGUGGUAACUUCUGUUGUUGCAGUUGAUCAUUAUACAUAGGAUGGCGCUGCAAUUGCUGGUGACUUUGAGACAUGGCUUGGUUUUCUUGGAAGUUCUGAAGAAAUGAGUGGUGAAGAUUGGACAAUGGCUGUAACAUCUCUCUCUGAAGCAGAGCAGUAGGGUCAUUAGAUACAAUUUGUGACGGCUGGAAUUGCAGAAGUGAUUGAGAGCCUAAUUUGGAAGAUUCCACAGCCCGCAUUUCCUGAAGGGCAGCAGCCGCCAUGGCCUGAUAGACAUCAGGUUGUAAAGCCUGAAUAGAAGUAUCAAGCCUUGGUUGAAGCCACUGAUUAACGCCAAAGCCCUGAAAGUUCAUAGACUGUCCCUGGUCCCCGAGUCCUUGAAGCCACAUCAAUUGAGCAUUAAUGCUCAAAUCAGUAUCCUUCAGACCUAAAUAAACAGGUCAAGAAAUAUUGGUGAUCAGGCAUCAGACUCAGAUUCCAAUAAUUUGAACAAUCCACAAGAGCAUACCGAAGGAUGGCAUGCCAGAUGGCCAAGGUCGCUUCAGUCUCAUAGGGAAUGGUGAUGGAUACAUAGGAAAGGUUGUUAAUGGUUCAAUCUCCCACAAGGAGACUCGUGGCUGCCUCUCCCCUGCAGUGGAUUCAUCCCAACCAACCUAUACAAUGAAAGAUGAGUUCAGUAUCCAGAAAAAAAGCGCAGACUGCUCAAAUAACUCCCCAGAUAAAAACUACUGAAAGGAUCAUAACAUUUGAGCAUAACCUUAACCGAACGCCAAUGUGAACUUUGCCAACGGACAGGAUCUAGAUCACUAAUCCCAGUAAUGGUACCCAUGUAUCUGGACAAAAAUGCAGCCAAUCAGCAACCAUCCUAUACUAAGACAAACAGGACAUCAAAAGGAAUAGACAGAGAAAAACAUUAUACGUAUUGAUCAACAAGAAAUGGCAGAAUUCUGAGAGAAGAAUAUUAAUGUCCGCAUUUUCAGUAAGCAAUACAGUUAAAAUAAGAUCUUAUAUAGACAGGGAUAGCCAUCCAGUGGAAUUAAGAAUGAUGCAAAAGAAGAAUAAAUUAAAAUGGCCGGCCUUACCGACGUACACUUGACUCUUCUGUCUCAAACAGCAUCCUAAAGCGCAUGCCAACAGAGACUCGAGUGUGGUAGACUGCUUUAACAUACUUGGCCAGUGGAAUAACAAACUCAGAAGGACUAGCUCUAAAAUUGAGUAACACAAAUAACAGAAUCAGUACAGGCUACGAGAAAACAUCUAAUAUAAUUCAAUAAAGAUAUACAGACUCGCCACCUUGGAUUAAAGAAUAUUGUGAACCGACUAUUAGUAGCUGCUGCAUGAGCUGCUGCUGCAAGCAAACCAAUGUGCAUGCUAUCACCAGAUAAAACAGAAGAAGGCAUGACAGUUUGGGGACGAUUAGCACGUCGAAUUCCCAGGAGCAUUUGGUUCUUUUCAGUCCUGAUAAAGACCACAUUUUGAUCAGCAAAUCUGGUGUAGGAUGACACCAAGACAAGAUCACUAAGAAACACAUUAUUAAUAGCUGUAUGCACUGUGGUCGAUAAAUAGCAUCUUUCGGACAUUCAGAGUUACAGAAUUUAAAUAAACAACAAAACCAGUCAUUGACGCGAGGACAUAAUAGAGACUGGAGAAUCAACAUAAGCUUCAAUAAAGAAAAAAAUUGGUCCAUCAGUAUGCAUGACAGUUUCAGUGCAUAUAUAGGUAAGGACAAGACAUCAGAAGAGCAAUAUGUAGAACCUAGCAAAUUGCUCAUCCGGAUGGCAUUCUCUAGAGGCUAACACAAAAGCAGCACAGUGGAAAUAGAAAUCAUCCCUACCAGAUGAAAAUGACAGAAUCACCAGCAACUAGCCUCUUUGCACUGACGAACACACUCCAUCCUGUUGUCAGCAGAUGCCUUUUGGGCUGCCCUGAAAGAUAAAUACGUUGAAGAUCAAUUCUCCAAUCACAUUUCCACAUCCGCUGUAAACUCUCCACAGCCUAACAUAUCAAAUACUAAUAUUCUACCUAGUUCAGAAGGAUAGAAUGUUUUCAGUACAUUGUUUGUCAGUUUCUUCAACAAACUAACCUCGAAAAAUAUGUUUGAACUUCCACUCAUUAUCAUGAAGAUCUCUUGCAAUAAGUUCCUGGCAAGGAGGUGUCUGAGAGUAAUCCUACAAAGCCAAGCGGUAGAAAUCAACAGAAAAAACAUUAGAACACCACUUGUUGACAACGUAACUUGAAGAACUAAUAACAGAAAGCAAGUUGAAGAGAACAGGUGACCUACAAGAGGUGGAAAGACUUUUUCAGCAGCCCGGCGAGGAACAGAAAAACCUCCAUGAGUACUGGUGUCACUUGCAGUCAGUGUCUUACAGAAAUAGUUGGUUGGUUGUUUACUGGGAGCACCUAACUCUGCUGGCAGAAGAUAAACUUCCUUUUGCUCUUGCUGAGAACAAGGCUCUUUAUCAGGCCAUUAAGUUGCAUAGGAGAAACCAAAAGACAAAAUUAAUCGAAAACAAAUCAAAGCACAAGAAAAGAAUAAGUACCGGACUCAAGGGUUGCAAUGUCAUUUGAGCAUAGACUUCUUCUGUCUCGACAUCUGACUGGACUUAGAAUCAUUCAAACCUCAGCAACAAGACUAUGGUACAUCACAGCUUAUUAAAAAAAUAAAGCAUAAGUACACUCACAUGCAUAGUGACAUUGUGAAGCUGGCAUAUAAGUUGUGGUGGUAGGCUAGGAUAGUUGGGAAUCUGAGCAUCUACUUCCUUGUUAGUUGAAGCUGCAACCUGCAUACGUAAUCAUUGAUGAAUUCAUAGGUGGAAACCACUCUUUUGUUAAGGAAUGCAAAAUAGACCAACGAUGAACCUCUCCUCAAGGAAAAUCCGAACUACUCAAUAACCCGAUGAAAUACAUCAUAUAUCUGCAUAAGGGAGCAUGAACAUAGAACAAAUUGUGAAACUGACCUGUUCACUGUGACCUUGCGGAAAGUAGACAACUCGACUACCCAGAUUGGGCAGAGAUACCAGAGGUCCGGCGCAUGCAUGCCACAGCUCAGAAUUCAAACACUUGCUAUCACCUCCUAAGACGACGAAACAGAGAGGAUCGCAAUUCAGACUCUCACAGUUUAAUUGAAUCAUCGGAAGCCACUUCCGGAGAAGCAACACGGACUCAGCUUUCAUACACACAAAAACCACAGCUCUUCCGUAGGUUGCCGCAACUACUCCACUACGGCGGCCGAAGGACCGCAAAAAACAAAAAAAAAACAGGGGGGGGAGGCGGAAACAACGUUGAAGCUGCAACCUGCAUACGUAAUCAUUGAUGAAUUCAUAGGUGGAAACCACUCUUUUGUUAAGGAAUGCAAAAUAGACCAACGAUGAACCUCUCCUCAAGGAAAAUCCGAACUACUCAAUAACCCGAUGAAAUACAUCAUAUAUCUGCAUAAGGGAGCAUGAACAUAGAACAAAUUGUGAAACUGACCUGUUCACUGUGACCUUGCGGAAAGUAGACAACUCGACUACCCAGAUUGGGCAGAGAUACCAGAGGUCCGGCGCAUGCAUGCCACAGCUCAGAAUUCAAACACUUGCUAUCACCUCCUAAGACGACGAAACAGAGAGGAUCGCAAUUCAGACUCUCAAGUUCGGAUGAAAACAGUACAAAUGCAAUUAAGGAAUGAUCAAAAAUUCAAAACCCCUACCAUCCUGAGCCUGCUGAUUCAUCCCAGGGGAAGGGAGUCUCAUUCUUCAGUGAAACCACCGCCCAAACCCUAAUUAAGCAACAGAACGAAACCGUGAAGCAACUAACUAUUGUAGUAGCAGUAGUACGAGCUGUAAGUUCAAGAAAUUGAAGCACAUUUGAAGCAGAACCCUCCCUCCCUCCCCCACCACCCACNNNNNNNNNNNNNNNNNNNNNNNNNNNNNNNNNNNNNNNNNNNNNNNNNNNNNNNNNNNNNNNNNNNNNNNNNNNNNNNNNNNNNNNNNNNNNNNNNNNNNNNNNNNNNNNNNNNNNNNNNNNNNNNNNNACUGCCGAGUCGGUUCGGCCGGAUCGGACGGGUAGUUAAAUAUCCAAACUCACCCUACGAGUAGGUCAAGAUCGGAUUUGAUAUUGUAACGCGAAAUACUUGAUAGGACGAAUAUAAACGUUCAGGCAUGGGAUAAAAACAAUAGUAUUUAAUAUACAUUACUACGAGUUUCGUGUCGAGGUUAAUGGCAACCUACGUAUGCCAUACAUACUUUAUCCAACCUCGGAUUUAGUACUUACCAGCUAACGAACCAAACGAUAAGAGUUGGAUAAUUUAUCCAAUGUGGAGGAUGUAGGUUGUUUAAGAAAUGAGAAACCGUUGAUUCCUUACGGCCGACAACCACACCUCCUUCGGAUUCUCGCUUUCACUUGUAUCACAGUCUGUAAAGGUUUCUGAUUCAACUACUUAACCUUAAUCACAAAUUGAUAAAGGUUAAGUAGUUGGAUCGAUAUGGACUAUGGUUAAACUCAUUGGUUCGGAACCGCUCGAUUUUGAUUUGAUUAUUAUUUGUUCAUGCGGGAGGGAAAAAGGAAAUGGAAAUGAAUCAAAUCAAUCAAUCAAUCGGUAUUGAAUAAAGUGGGGCAUUAUUAAAUGAGGUGGCGGGGCCCACACCUGGGAAUGGAGAAAAUCUAACCCUCUCCGGGUCUACCACGGAUUUGAUUUUCUUUCCACCGCCCCCCUUCCCCCAUUUUCCUUCCCUGCCCUAUUCUAGGGGUCGUUUGGCAUGUAGGUUGAAAAUGUUCGGUGACAACUUUGUAUCCCGUAAUUUACUCGUUUGUUUAGUGAAGGUCGAUAUAUUUCUUAUUAUUUCCUACGAUGUUCAAGUGGAAUCGUGCAUUCAUCUCUCAACGAAAUGAAAAUAUCUAUUUGUUAUUGUCAUCUCUCGUAUCUAUGACAUUCAAGUCUAUCUAUAUCAGAAUUGCAAAAGGGAAUAGCAAGAGUAUUCAUGAUUUUACGUGUUUCAUUACUCAACAUUUGAAUUUAAGUUAACAUUUGUAUUUUUCACUGACUUUUCUCUAUUUUAGUAUUCCAGAGUCAUAAUGAUAUUUGAAAUCAAUAGCAUUUACUUUUCUUCAAGUAAAUUCAAUUAUUUGGUGGUUGGGAAGGGGAAGAAAGUAUGCAUGUUCACAUAUAAAACCAUAUAUGUCAAAACGACAUCAAACCGUACUUAUACCGCAUAUAAUCAUCGUUAUAUUUACACAAUUUAUUGUAAGGAAUUUUGAAAUUACGUAAAAGAAUGAAUUAUANNNNNNNNNNNNNNNNNNNNNNNNNNNNNNNNNNNNNNNNNNNNNNNNNNNNNNNNNNNNNNNNNNNNNNNNNNNNNNNNNNNNNNNNNNNNNNNNNNNNNNNNNNNNNNNNNNNNNNNNNNNNNNNNNNNNNNNNNNNNNNNNNNNNNNNNNNNNNNNNNNNNNNNNNNNNNNNNNNNNNNNNNNNNNNNNNNNNNNNNNNNNNNNNNNNNNNNNNNNNNNNNNNNNNNNNNNNNNNNNNNNNNNNNNNNNNNNNNNNNNNNNNNNNNNNNNNNNNNNNNNNNNNNNNNNNNNNNNNNNNNNNNNNNNNNNNNNNNNNNNNNNNNNNNNNNNNNNNNNNNNNNNNNNNNNNNNNNNNNNNNNNNNNNNNNNNNNNNNNNNNNNNNNNNNNNNNNNNNNNNNNNNNUACGUAAAAGAAUGAAUUAUAAUCGAAAAGUUUAUAAUAGAAGGAAAUUGGAUAACUACAUCUACAACUUAAAAAAAUAUAAUUAAAUUUAUAAUCAUAAGUGCUUCUUAAAAUUAUAUAAAUUGUGAAGUAAUAAAAUAUUUUAAAUAACUGAAAUGCACAACUCAACCACAUCAAAUAUUAAACAAUUUUUUACCAAAAGAAUCAAUACUAAACAAAUAACUAAUUCAACAACUCGAUCUUAUUCCCAAACCACUCCUUAUUCAUUUGCUAUUUUUUAUUUAUUUUUCAUUGUUUAUUGCCUGCUGUCAUCUGAGUUCUGACACAAGUAGGACCUGCCCCUUUUUCAAUAAAUAAAUAAAUAAUGCUACUUUUGUAUUUUUAUUUUCUCGUUUAAAUAUUUACUGUUUGUAAAUUAGUCAUAAAACAGUCAACAUUUUGAAACGUAAAAUGGGCCAACUUGCCCACGAUUCCCGGUCAAGGACUUCAACUCUAUUUUAUGCGAAAAGCAUAAAUCCAGGCCCAUCAAAAAUUAAGAACUAUAUCGGGUAAUCGAUCGAAACGAUCCCCUUCAUUUUCGAGUGCAACAAAAUAGUCCUAUCGGAACGCUACGUGUGAACGUCCGUUGAUUAUACUCGGUCAACGUUGGCUUUAGCCUCAUUCCAAAUGAUGUGGCACUUUACCCGUCAGCCCUGGACCACUCAACUGUCCAUCUUCGUCGUUCUUUCUUCCUCCGCUCUAUCUUCCACUAGCCAGAAGCGUGGGAACAUGUCGAAUCGAGGUCCAGUCGAAGGUUUCCGAUCAAUUAUGAUCUCCCAUCUAGAGGAGGCAAGGGUGGUUUGCUAAUUAAGUUCAAAUCUUAACGCACUCUACCAAACUUCCCGCCGGCAUUGCCAGAUUCCUUGUGUGUUUAUCUACUGCUGAAGUCUCCAUCCACAUGGAUGGUUGUUUUACAGAGAUCACAAUAGGCAGAGACAGAAAGAAACAAAAGCAAAUUGCGACAAAGAAGAGGACAAGAGCUGGUAAUGAUGCUUUUGGACACAUUUCUAACCCACUUCCACUUGGCAACAACUAAUAAGGUUAGAGGAGUAACUGCACCUAGGAUCAUUAAACUAACAAGGCUACCAAAAUUAGGCAUAACUAUUCACUCUUCCUAGUUAGUCUAUUUCGGGGGUGUCGUACUAUUCCAAGUUCGUCUUGAGUUUGAGAACGACGGUUAGAAGUUCGUGAUAUGCUUUGGAACGGAGAUGCUAUGUUGGAUAUUCUGUUCGGAAUGAAGUUGUUACGAAUGGCGGUUAGAGCAGGGUAGUCUCUCAGUUGGACAAAUCGUUCUCUUUUAAACGCUACAUUUUCAUUGUAUAGCUGGAUGUGGUUGCUCAUUCGGUUACUAGAGACAAGCAAGCUAGGUGGACUUUGGUGCAUAAUGUUUCUCUGGGUUGUGAUGAUGGAACUCGAAUACAAGAUCUUACCAAAUAUAGAUAAUACUUUCUACCACUUAGGCAAGACCACAUGGACUUAGAAGCGGCGGUGCAACAUGAAGACCUCUCAAGGACCGCCCAUCUUAAUACUACUCUUGCCCAAAAAUGUAUAAUGGGAUCCGAUGCAUCAGUUCUGGUACGAUCGCACCCGGCCAGUGUCUGGGAGAUGGAUAGAGUUCUGCUGAAAUGAAAUCCAACUCAUUGAUGGAAAAAAGCACAGCACAACAGAAGCUGAAAGAUUUUGAUCUUCUUCCAACUAACACCAAAACGAUGUUUGUUCAUUCCCCUUUACAAACACUUUUCUUCUCCUUCCUAAUAUACAUAAGACUACAGUGAUAAGCUUUUUAUUUUGAAUGAACAGAUUUUUGCUCGUCAGUGAUGACAAUGGCGGUCUGUGGUCUUCUCGUUGCGAGACUGUUUCAUCAAGAAAUUCCAUGCUAGUAAUGCUGCUCCCACGGCCGGCUCUAGCUGUUUUGUGUUUGGUUUUCGUAAUAGAAAACAACAGAGGGAGAACAAACACAUCAUUAGAGUGGGAAUUUAGUCCGUCACGGUCAAACCGGAUCGAAUUUGGUAUGCGACUUCUCAAUGCCAAGUAUGAAUAGAGGUAGGAAUUCAGUUGGUCACGGUUAAACCAGACUGGACUAGGGGUGAGAAUUCAAUUCGUAUGGUUAUUCUCGUAGUGAAUAACCGUUGCAUCUCAAUAACUCGAGUUCUUGGGAGCACCACGUAGAGAGCUGUUGCAUCCUAAUAACUCAAGUUGUUUGGAGAGAUUCAUAGUUAGUUUACAUUCCUUAACGACACCUCCUAUGUAAGGUUACCAUGUGUAGAACAAUUACAUCCCGAUAACUCGAGUUGUUGGGAGAGAUUCGUAGUUAGUUGACAUUCGUUAAUAAUAUCUCCUAUAUAUGGUUAGACUGCCAAGUACCAAGUUCUAGCAGUUGUACAGUGUACGUUUUAGCAGUUGACAUAAAAAAGCAAAUAGAUGUUUAGUUAAUUGGUACCUUUGGAACAAUAGGAUGAGCUCCAGGGUAAUCUCGUGAAAUGCAAUUCACAACCUCUUUCCCUAUAUCCCAUUUCUUGUUUGCUUCAAGAACACCACCGACCAUCACAAGAGGAAAAGGAGCAUUCCCAUCUGUCGCAUUUUGAGUAAAGAUGAGUCGAAAUGAUUGAAUGAUUUCGAGUGACGAUGUUAACCAAACAAAAGAAAUCGAGGAUUCAUACUUUCGCCACACAAUUGAAGUCGAUGCACAACAGCUUUCACGCUUAGAGCCAACUCUUCGACUGAAUCUUGCAGUAUCUGAUUCGCAACUUCAUCACCAGCCUCUGCACAAGAUACGACCACCGGGACAAGAUUCGCAAUGCGAGCCCAUGAUGGAUCUAAAUAAGUCCACCUACGAUCCACAAGAUAAAUAUGUUCAGUAACAUCAAACCUCACACAAGUACAUCAGUGAUCAUAACUAGCUUUAAUGAACCUACCCUAUAAGUUCAUCAGGAGAAGAAAGUCCAAGAAACUGCAAGAUACUAGAUGUAAGAAUCGUUUCAGGACCUCGACCAUCGUACGCCCUUAUUACUGCCGUUAAUGCCUGUGCAGCUAUUCCAUAGCCACUGCAAGUAUAGCACAGAGGAGGACGAAGAUAAGAUAUCUACUUUCGAAAACCCAGUUUUUUUAUUAAUGGUACAAAAAACGAGACAUACCUUCCCCAGUCACCGAGGACAGGGCCAGCACCUGCAGCGCGAGCUGUCCGGCCAUCUUCUGUGAACCCAUACGCGAUUGUUCCUGUUCCAGCAAUUAAAACACAUCCAUGAAGCUUUCCCAUUGUUCCACUAGCUAAAGCUGCCACAGCAUCAUUCUGAACAAAUAGCUCUACAUGACGAGGGAAGAUGUCCCUGAAUAUAACCACCAAACAGAUUUUCAGAAACAUCUAUAAUAGCGGGGGCAUCUAUAGAAUUUUGCCAAAGAUAUGCAAACGAACCUGAGCCACUUCAUGAUUCGCCGCUCAUCUGUUUGAUGAUUAACACCUGAAACAGCUAAACAAACUGCUCUUACUGCUGAUCUAUUUGAAGCAGACUUCAAGAGUGCCUCUGCCAUAACUCGCUCCAAUGUCUCUCUAGCAGCAAGUUCUGUAUCGUCAAACAAGAAAGGAGUCAGAACGAACAAAAGAACCAGUCAUUUUCCAUUGUCUGCAUUAAGCAUUGUAAUCCAAUAAUUGCCUCAUACAGAGGAAACAAAAAAUUUGUUAGUUAGAUGGAGGCAUGGAGCUGAACAUCUUUUCACACUUGAGAGAGCUCAAUUUCAAGUCAAACGGAGAUAUGAGAACUGACCGCCAACGCUGUUGUGAUUGGAGCAUCCGGCGACAGCGCGAGCCAGAAACGGAAGAGGAUCAGGCAACGGAGCGGAGAACGGGAGAAUCGGGAUGCAAACACAAACGGUCGAAGUUGUGCCGCCGUCCAAUCCUAAGAUCACCGGACGAUUACUCGCCAGCCCGUUCUCGUACUCGAAGUCCCAGAUUUCUCCAUUCCUGUACCUCUUCAUCAUUUACUUCCACAGCAGCAACCAAUCAAAAUUACGAUUGGAAUGAGAAAGACAGCACUGAACAGCAGACAAAGAAAAGAACCCAAAUCGAACCAAAACAUGAACAGGAUUCGAGAUUUCAGCCAAUCCAGACCCCCAAGGUGUGGGAUUGACUGUGAAGAAGAAGAAAUGGGGGAGGUGGGGAUUGGAAUUAAACGAGAGGGAAGACAUCGUCUUGCAGGUGGAGUUAUAAGGGUUCAUAUUCGGGCGGCCAAAACCUGCCAAAUGCUACUCGCUGGAGGAGUGACGAAUUGAAUUGUACACAAAAAUUGCUUAAAAAAUUCCCCCGGGAAAAAAAGAGAGUUUCUUUUAUCGUUUAUCUGCGAUGGGGGGGUUUUGGAAUUUAGGGUUCUAAUUGGCCGCCUGCAGCAGCACCUACUUCUAGAUGUUUGUUCUCCUCUUUCAGCAUUUUCGCGCCACCAGUCACCAACUCGACCUCGUACGCCAUGCGGCUGUUGUUUCCUAUUUGGAUUUUUGCGGCUUUUUUUUUCUUUCGUAAUGGCCAUAUUAGACCUUCAAACAAAGGUAUUAAUUAAUGAUCUAAUAAUAUGCAAUUUACUAACUUAUGAUUUGAUAAUCCAAUCUAUAGUCCUGGCCAAUUUGUCCAUUUGACCAUUUGGAUGAACAAUAUAACGGGUAUGGGUAUUGGUUAGAUUUCAAAUAAGUAUAAUACUUUAAAUUUUAUAAAUACAUCGUAUAUUUUGCUCUAAACAAAUAGAGAUAAUAUCUAUAAUAUAAAUAAUAAUGAACACACAUUAUUAUACUCAAAACUCUAUCCUCAUCUUGAUCCAUCAUUAAUAGUUUUGUCAAUUAACUCACCAUACUUCUCAAAUCAAAACCCUAACAUUAUUCGCGAUGGAUAUUGGUAUACCUCAUAUCUAAUUCCCACACCCUCUGUCUGGCAAGUUGCAACCCUAUGGUGACUAAUGGUGAAUUGGUGAUUGGUGAGCCUAGUCAUAGGUAGUUUAACUAAACCUUUAGGGGUUUAAAUGUAAAUUCUUCGGUGGUCUUAUCUUCUCCUGCUGACCUCAGUCCGCAGCGUCUAGCUCAUUAGCUCAGUAUCAUUUUCUUCUCCUUUGAACAAGCCGUCAGGCGUCAGCUCAUCAGCUUCUCCGUUCUGAUCGGAGAGUUCUCCUCCACCCGCGAUCUCGGAGAUAUUACAAUCCCCGCCGCCGGAUUUCAGGUCACCUCCGACCAUUUUCAGGUAACUCCCGCAGAUCGUCACUCUCCAAUACUUGAGUGGUAAUUCACUCUUCAGACCUCGAACCAGAUUGAGCUCUUUCUGUUAUUAUAUCUUAGGUUUUUUUAUCGUAUCAGCUAUUUUUAGGGUUCAUGUCGAUUUUAACUAACCCCCAAUGGUUUCUCAUUUUGUGACUCUUAACUUGUGUAGCUAAAAUUUGGGAGACAAUUAGGGCAUAGGAUUUAAGAGCCUUCUGAAGAAUACAAGGAAUGGCAGAGCAUCAAGAGAAAGUUAAGCACAUUGAGGAGUGUUCAGUUGCAAAGUAAGAACCUUCUGUUUCCUUUCUCUUAUUUCCUUACUCCUAAACUAUUAUGACCAUUGUUAGUCUUCUAGUGCUACAUUGUAGUAGCAAGGAUAGAGAACACAUAUAGCAAGUGAAUACAUAUUUCUGUUUUUGUAUGUUAAUCAAGUCGGCAAUUAGAGUGUCUAGUGACUGAGCCUAUUACUGUGAAGAGACAUUGCAUCCCAAAAACUCGAGUUCUUGGGAGAUGGCGUGAAUGGUGUGGAACUAAACAAGAGAGACUUUGAUUCUUAACAAUUAAGAGUAUACAACACCUGUGGUAUAUCCGUGAAUUACUAGUUUAGUUGCUUUACUGAAUGGCAUAUUAUUAUGGUUUGUGAUGCUUGACGAUACUGAUAGAUAGUUACUUGCUAUUAGCAUAGAAUUCUGACCUGAAUAAUGCUGAAUGUUCAACAUAUGCAGUGCCAUGGGGACAUGGUUCUUUUCAGCAGCUGGGGCUCUGAUAGCGAUUCCAGUUGGGAUAAAGCGCAAGUCAUUAGCUCCACUGGUGUUCUUCGGCACAACGGGGACAAUGCUUGAUAUUAUAAUGGGUAUCAGCCAAUGUGAAAGAGAAUAUGCAGAGCGCCAAGCAUUGCUACUAGAAACCCAGAAUGCGCCAGCAGCAGCAGGUGGUGGAGAUUUCACCGAAACAGUGUCUUCAGACUCAUGACCAUCAGAAGUUUGUUCGCUGCUUCUUUUAAUCCGUCCUAAUUCUGAAUAAAGGAAGAGUAUUAGCUGGGAACUAUUGCAUCGGCUAGUCAAAAGCUUUUAUUUUUGGCAGUACUGGAUACAUACGGAGGCUAGAUACAUAUGCGACUUCAUUUUUGAAAAAUCAAGCUCCGGCGUACAAAAGCCAAGCCAACAGGACAGGACUCCACUCUUUGUGCUCUGAUGUUUCCAAACAAAACUUUUGCUGUCUUUUUUAGUACCGUUUGGUUAGGAGUCAGUAGUUAUUUUUCCUAAUUAUUAGCUAGCCUAUUCAGUAGCUUGUUUAAUGACUCCUACCAUAUGGGAAUGACUGAAUUCAUAUGUCGCUUGAAAAUAUUUCUAUCACUUUGCAGAAAAGACGGCAGUAAAUAAGUCCAGGGCACCAAGAGGUUUAUGCACAAAUUUCAUGUAGUGUGUACAAUUUGAACUCUGGGUCCGAUUGUUUAGCUAAAUUCAGGACAUAGAGUAUUAAUCAUCCCUUAACAGAUACUGUAUCUCAACCAGUUUUGGAGAAUGAGGCUCUGGUAAUGUCUAAUAGUUCUCUGACUUCUCUCCUAAUGCAAGAAAAUGAUUAUGAAUGAAGACAUUGACGGAACCAGAGCAGUGUUCACAUUUCAUACCGAAAUGUACGAUAUAUCUUACUUGCAUGGAGGCAGUUGGAUCACUUUGGCAAUAGAGAGAAGCAGACUUCUGCUUGAACCUGUAACAGUGAAAUGUACGGUGUUGGUCAUUGCUGGCUUUAACUAACCUGUACCAUAAUGGCUUUACUAAAAACACAUUCAUAAUCUAGGCAACUUUGCAGUCUUCAUACCCAUCAUCCAUUUCCAAAGUGGCUGCCAACAGUUAAAAUCCUCCACCAGGUCACUACUGUCUUUUUAACUGGUGUUCUCCUGCUGAUGAACAUCUUCUCCUUCUCAGAAUUUGCUACGAAUCUAAAGUUCAUUACCUGCAAACCCAUUGAAGAGAAUCGUGCAGGAUGUGUUUACCUGCAUAACAUGUCUGAGGUUCAAUCUGUUUGGCUACCUUCCAGUUACGAGACUGCACGUUCUUCUGAUGUACAAAUAAAAACGUUUCUCCAGAUGACAAUCGCAGAAACAAUCAAUAUGAUCUUAUGAAUUAGAUGAUACCUUAAACUCUUGGGACCCCAGGUCAAUGUGAGCCAUUUCUUCGCUAGUUUUCCCACUCUAGGUACCUCAAUGAGUUCUUCAACGCCUACGUUGAUUCAGCCAGAGCUUCAAAUCUAAGGAAGACUACAACUAAUGCUAUAACGGUUUUCGUUCAUCUCAGCCAGCUUUCAUUUAAGCAAGGUAGGCUAUCUCAUGUUUGGCUAAAUGCCAGAUUCUUCUAUUCUAAAUUUGAACCAAAAAUAAGAUACAGCUCCGUACCUUCAGAAAUUAGAGUUUGAUAAGGAUGCACCAAACGAACCAGAGAAGAACACUGCGAACUUCUGUCCUCCACAACUUGUUCAAAUCAUGCGAUCUCACAUCUGAAACCAUAGAUCAAAUAUACGCAAGAGAUGAAAUCAUUGAUUAGCUGAAUCGAAUCUCUGCAACUAGACAACACCGCUGGCAGUUCCAAGAGCUCUGAUCUUCUUCUGCAACACGGACCAAAUGAGAUAGAGUUCUGGUAUUGGAGUAUGACAAAAUCUAACGAUCUUCACUUCUGAAACCAUAGAUCAAAUUCGCACAAGACGAAAUCAUUAAUUAGCAGAAUCUAAGUUCUAAAAACUUACUGUGCAAACAAUAAACCACCGUCGCCAGCUGCAAGAGUUCGAAUCUGCUUGACGUGAAUCGUCUCGGCAACUUGUACAAUGAAAUAGGAGAAGGAAAUUGCUCAGAAUUCUCAGCUUAUCCGAGUACCAUAACGUGGAAAGUCAAACGAAUCGAAAGGACCUUAAGGGUGGUGACUGAAGAUGAGCGGUUGAACGAAAUUGCCGAUGGUGAGACUCGGCUUCGCAGUUAUCGAUCUGAGGACCGUACCAUCGGGACUCGGGAGGAUACUCCCAGUCACCCGUUGCCGGUGGUCUUGGAUUCACCAUGACUUGCUGCUUAAUCUCGGAGGCGGAAGUAGAAUUGGCGUCAAUAAGCGGAAGCGAUCUUGGACGCACUCUCAUUCUAUUCCUUCCGAUUUCAAUUUUUGAACACCUCCAAUUUAAAAGAGUUUCAUCAUUCAAAUUUGAAAUCCUCGCGCUUAAAAUUUUCAUCUCCCGCCAAAUAGAAAUUUAACCAAUUAACCAUUAAAAAAAAAUUAAAAUUUAUUUGGCUAUUAUUAAAAAAGUUUAACAUAGUAAAAUUUUAUUUUUUAGUUAUUCCCAACAUACAUGUCAAAUAUUAAUUAAUUUAAAAAUUAUUAUAUUAAAAUUAUCAAUUUAUGUGUUAUACUAUUGGAAAUUGACUAUUUUCAUAAGAAAAUUUUCAAAUUUUCAAAUCGACUAAUAUUUGACAUACAUACAUGUUGAAAAUAGUUAAAAAAUCAAAUUUUAUUAUGGUAAUCCUUAUCAAUAAUGGUCAAAUAAAGUUAAAAAUUAAUUUUAUAUGAUGUUAUGUUAAUGUUGAAAAUCCAUUUUACUUGGGUUUCAUUAUUGCUACCUAACUCUCUGCAACUCUCCUAACUAUGACAUGGUUCGUUUGCAAGAUUAAUUGUAGAAUGAAAUUUGGAUGAGAAAGAGAAAGUUAAUUCUCAUAAUACAUUUCAUUAGGAUUUAAGUUUCCCGCUCAAAUAAAAAAUACAUAAAAUUCCAUCUCACAUUCCAACUGUCAAACCAACCAUAAAUCGUAAUCUUUUAUAAAAAAAACGUUUUUCAUGAAUAAUCUGCAUAUCUUGUUUUCUAAUUAAACUAAUUGCAUACAAAAUAACCCAUGCACCAUUAUUUGAUUAAUUAGUAGCUAGGUAGAAGCAAAGUGCAUUACAUAUAAAGAGCAUCAAAGCUCAGAAGUAAAAUCUAAAUCUAUAAUUAGACACGUAAGCGUAUAAUAUCAUAAUGCUGCCACGCUGGCAACAGAUCUAUAUCUAGUUAGGGUUUUAUCAGAGACAGAGAAAGCAGCCCGAAAACAUACGUAUAAUUAUCCUCAUCAGGCCGCCGGCGCUAGCAUAUUAUCAGCGUCGUCGUCGUCGUCAUCAUCAUCAUUAUCAUCGCCGUCAUUCUCUGCGACGGCUGGUCGGUUGGUCAACGCGAUGAAGUCGUUCAAUCUGCUGGAGCAGUCAAAUACCGCCGCCAAUUUCUUGCCCCCACAAAUAACCGCCAUUUCCGGAUCUGAUCAGGCACGUGGAAAAAUAUAUAUUAAUAUUAUAGAGAGUAGUUAGGGUAUGAUAGAGAAAAUGAAUCACACAGUACCGCGUAGUCAGGGUAUAUAUAGACACGAUGAUGGACUAUGAAUCUAUGAUCUGAUCAUGAUGCUCUGGUGGUCUCCGCGUCAAGUUGUUCCGGCGGAACCAGAAUGAUUCGAGAUAAUUGGUGGGAUUUCAAAUUUAAAAGCUUAAUUCAUUUGAAAAUUUAAUGUGAAUUUUGAUUACAUAAAUUUAUUACUCCCUCUCGAUUAGGAAUUCAGGUGGCCUAAAUUGGCCACCUCUAAUCCCGCCAAUAGUUUGUGCUAGAUUAGAAAGAUUGAAAGAGAGAAUCGAAACUCUUCUACAAUUGAACUACAACAUAUAUUUGUCAACUUCGUGAAAUUUUUGCGAUACAUAUACUGAAUUAGUAAUUUAGUAUAUCUCGUCGACUUAGACAACUUUUAUCAAUUAGGUAUUCUUUUUAUAAUUAGGUCGUUAUCGCCGAUAGCAAUAAUCGAUCAUUUCGCCGCGGGUGCUCGCACAAAGCGAUAAACGACUAGCCACCAAGUAUACAACAUUUCCAUGGACAAAGAUUAAACUCCCGACCUCAUAGUUAAUGAACGGGUUGAGCAACUAACAAUUUCACAUCUCGUGUUAACUAACACAAAUUCAAUGAAGCAUUUGACAAAAGUGUUUGUAUUAUCAUGAAGGUUAGGAUUGAAUCCAAUCACAAUGCAGUGAACAGGCUCACGACAAUAUCAAGGUCAAGGAUCAUAUUUCAGUACUUUCUGAUACAUUAUUCAUAUAUAAAAAUUGAUUGAAUUAAAUGGGUCAAUUUGAGACUAUCUUACCAUGUACAAGAUCUUCUUCAACCUAGCUACUCACUUUUCCUUUUUAAACUUUGCCCUUUGGCCUCCUUUAUAUCGUUUGGUGAGUGUAGUUUCGAAUUAUAUUCUGUUGACGUGGCUGCUAACAGAGCCAUGCAUUCUGGUGACGUGGAAGGUGUCAGGGCUGGCGGCUGCAUUCCUUGUUCCGACACGUGGAAUCACCCCUCCAUGCACGUUCCAAGCUCUAUAGCUCUCGUGCAUUUCACAAUUCGGUCGGCCCUAGUAGUACCAAAUCAUAGCAGCCAAACCCGACCCCGCGUUGCCUGUUGGGCUUUGGUCAUUGGACUCAUGGCACUUAGGAAGACGCUAUGGGCUUUGAGCCUUACAAAACAAAGGAAUAGGAAAGUACAGGUGUAGUUGGAUUCGUAAAUCGCGGUUUAGUUUUUAUUAGGUGAUGAUGAGCUCGUAUUUCAUCAUUUUUCUGAGGUCAUUAGUUUUGUGAGAUAUUAGAUAUUAGGACGGGAUGAUCAAGUUUAAGCAAAUAUCUAUCGGGAAGACAAUUGAACUGUUGAGGUCUUAGUUAGUCGGCAUUGAUCAUAAUUUACACAUUGGGUACUAUUCAUGAUAUUUCUUCUAGUGAUCCUACUUUAUCGUUAUAUUUAUUGUAUGACUUUUAUGGACGUUUUUCAAUUUCGUUUUAUUAUGAAUGAAAGAUAAAAAAAAAGGGACAAAAGAUUGUUGUCUGAUUUUUAAUAUUAUUUGAAUUAAAUAUAAAAUUACUUGAUUGAUCUUUCAAUCCGGUGUAGUUGACACAAAAUAUGGUCAUCGGAUCUAAAUAAUAAUAUAAUCCAAUUUUAGUUUUAAUAUUGAGGUAGUAUUGAGUAUCUGCAUGUACCAAAAUACUUGUCACGAUUUUCUUAAUUGCCAAUGUCCGAACCGAUUUGGUAAUCUAGGACAAUAUAAUGGAUCAGGAUUAUUACUAGAGAUAUGCUUAAGUACUUAAGUCAGAAUUACGAGGAAAUGGGUUGGCUAAAGUCGUUGACCAAAUGACUAAUAAUUAAGGGUUGCCUACAAUUAUUCACUUAUUAUUUAUAAUCUAAACAAAAAUAUUCGAAUCUUAAUGAAACUACUUCACCUAAUUUUCUCAAAGCAAAGCUCCAAUGACUACUUGUCAAGUCUUACAAAAGUUGAAAGCGAAUCACUUGGCCGACAAUAACAUGUCAACAUCGUCUUGACAUAACACAUUAGUAUUCAUAAGUAUUCCCGAUUGGUCCACAUUCUACAGAGAAUUUAUUAAUUAAUAAAUACCGACNNNNNNNAUUAAUAAAUACCGACAUGUUAAAUUAUAUGUUAAUUUAUUUUACUAUUGGACCGUAUUAAGUAUUAUUCUCGAAACUUUCAAAUAUUAAGUAUUUGUCCCAAAACUCACCAAUGAGACCAAUUAUCAUGGUCGAAAUUGUAAGUUUUAGAACUAAUCCAACGUGUACUGAAUCAGAUGGAAUUUGAAUAAUUUUUAUUUAUGUAUCGAAUAAUCAAUUAACUAUAAUAUUGACGAAUAUAUUUUGAAACCUAAUAUUUAGCACUCAUUACGGGUUUAAUUAAAAUAAAUUAAAACGUGUCAUCGGCGAUUUUGUUUCAUAUAUUUAGAUUGUUUGAACUAUUUUAUUAAUAAAUAUUCGAACUAAAUUUAUGAUUACUACUAAUUAAUAGGUUGGUCAUACGUUAAAUUUGAUAGAUUACUUACUCUAAACAUACAUGGACAAAUCUAAAAAAUCAUCAAAACAUUAUAAAUAAUUUAUUACUCAAUGCUAACGAAUAAAAGAGCCAAGACUCUUCCUAACUCACUCUAAUUCAUACACCAUCAAACACUAAACCACGGUCCGAGAAACAUAAAUACAUGUCCAAGUUUAAUGCUCACCCGGGCUCCCCUUCGUAACAUUUAAAAGUGUGAAUAUGAAUAUGUAACCGAUCCAAAAUUAAAAGACUUUUAUUAACUAUUUGAGUCAUCAAUGUCGACUAUAUCAGCUGCGUAAACCAAUUUACUUGCGUCAAACUCAUCUUGGACACCCCCAUGAAUUUGACUUCUCAUCACCAAAUCCACCAUUGAAUCUUUGACCACCACCAGCUGGUACGUUACUUGAAUCUUACUUACCAGUGAGUUAUUGUAAUACUGCAAAUGACAAAAAUCCCCACUAGCACUCUGUUCCUUCCUCGACUAACCCCUUUUCGAGGUAUUGUUGUAUAUUAAUGGCGGUAACAUGAUUCCCCGGAUGAGGUAGCAUAGCAAGUAGCAGCUCUGUAAAUAAAUAUACAAAAAAACAGAGCCCCAUGCAAAGUCAAACCCUCUUCUUAGUUUCCGUUUCCAUCUCUGUAAAUAUAUUAAUAAAAAACAGAGAGGCAGAGCCAAGCAGGUACAGCUGCACUGCACUGCAUAAUUAAAGCUACUACCCAACAAACUCUCCCCCUUUUCAUUUCGAUUUCCUUACUCCGUACUUCUUCUUCUUCUUCUUCCAUCUCUCUCUUGUUUGUUUGCUGUGUAGAAUUAAUCCCAAUUGGGUUUGGUUUCUGAGUCGGUGGUCUCUCUCUAAACAAGGUGAAACUCUCUCUCUAGCUCUCUUGCUCUCUUGCUCUGCUUCUCCAGCUCUGUUUCUUUAUCUGAAUCACUUGGCUUGCAUAAGUUGAUAACUUGAUCGUCAAAGCUAAAGAUGAUGAAAUUUCUAAUGUCCUGAUCAACUGGGUUUUCUGUUUCUGCUUUCAUUUAGCGUGAAUUUCUCUCUGCAUAAAGGCAGUAGAGAAUCUAUUCUGUUUUGGAAACCUGAAGGUAUGAAGAUAUAUCUUUUUCCUUCAUGUGGGAAAAAUAACAGAAUGAAAGGGAAAAAACUAGUACUGGGUUCUCUGGUUAAUAUCUUUUUUGUUUCUGUGUAGUCAAUUGAUCUUUUAUUAUACUUUCUGAUUGGAUUUAUAACUUGAUCAAGCAUUCAAGCUAUAGAUGAUGGAAUUUUUCCCUGAACUGGGUUUUGGUUUUUGCUUUCAUUCAUGCAACAGUUACUUUCACCGUUUUCCUUUGAUUGUUUUUCUUCUGCUCUAAUUUACAAACCUCAAGUUAUGAAGAUGAUGAAAAAACUAGACACUGUGUUCUCUGGUGAAUCGUUUGAUUGUUUCUGGUUUUCCCAUCGAUCUCCAUAUUAAUUAAUGAAUAAUAUAAAACUGUUUGAAUUCUCCCCUAACAACUUGAGUUAUGGGUAUGCAAUAAUUUAUGACAUUGUAUCACUACAAAAUGUUGGAGUUUUGAGUUUCGAUAGCCUCCAAUUCGUGCACGGGACUUAGCGAAGCCUUGGAAACCAUAAAAGAUCAGGGUUCUGAGUUUCGGUGGUGCUCAAUCCGUGCACAAGACUUAUUGAAGGCCCAUGCAAACUUUAAAGCCUUCGAGAGCGUCCUUUUGAAGGGGGUUUGAUAAUGAAUAAUAUAAAAUUCAUGUUGAACUAUUUUCCAAUAACUCGAGUUAUUGUCAAGUUCUAUUCAGUAACUGAUUAAAGUUGCAUUCUUAUUUUCCCUUGGUCAGUUGGUCUAGCUUGAACCCCAGAGUAGGUAAGAAUGCUGCUUGAGAAUUUAAUGGAAGAGAAGCAACUGGAUCUCAGUCAGCCAUUUUUAUCAGUGAGGAGGGCUGCUUCAUCAACACCAGCAGUUGUUGCAAAAGAAUCAGAGAAGAAAAAACCUGCAACUGGUUCGACCAAGCCUCUGCUGCCACCUCUUCCUCAUUACAAACCAGAUUUGAAAUCAGGACCUAUCAGGGUUCCAGGAACAGUCCCCUUCCUCUGGGAGAGAAGCCCCGGAAGACCAAAGAAUAACGAAACCGUCACCUCUGAUCACAAAGCUCAUCUUCCUCCUGUUGUUCCAAGGCUUCCUCCUGGAAAAAGGGCAUUAAUGUUGAAUGCUCACUCAGAUGCUGCUAGCUCUGAAGAAGGAUCAUCAUCACCAGCAGCUGGAUUCUCCGAUUAUCGGGAAGGAGUAAUGGAGGAGACAAGGAGUGAGGAUUAUGAUGAUAAUGAUGAUGACGACGAGUAUGAGAGGUUUGUGGAUGCACUUGACACACUAUCCAGGACGGAAUCUUCAUUGCUGAACUGCAGCGUUACAGGGAUCACCGGGCUGGAUGCUGUGGAUAUGAGACUGAAUCGAACACUCUCGAGCGAAUUUCAUGCUAAGGAGUUCAUGAUUGGUAGAUUCUUACCUGCUGCGCAAGCAAUGGCGAACGGAAGUCCUCAGUAUUCUCCACAGUAUCCUACCAAGAAGCAGCCCGUUCUACGAGAGCAAACGAGGCAGAUUAUGACACUCAACCAGCCUCCUCCUCUGAAACCUUCGAGGAGAGAUCACAUUGUACCGUACUAUGCACAAUGUGAUACUAAUUCGGUGGACGGGGAUGAUGAUGAUUACAGCGAACCGGACACUUCUUCGCUAGGUGUUUGUGGUUUCUUCCCUAGUUUCUGCUUGCAGAAUCGAUUGAAUCCCGUUCCGGGGAUUAGAACUCCGGCUUCUUCUUUCAGGACCAGACGAGAUAAGGUAUUUCACAGACUUUUGAAUCGAGGCCUUAUGUCGAAAGAAGUAACACUAAUUUGUUGCUGUUUCUUUAUGUAGUAUGAUAAGGCUGCUGAACAUGGGAGAAGAGUAAUGAAUGAACCACCUCGACGACAAUCAGGAAAUCGUAUCGAUGAUUCUCAGACACGGUCCCAGCCGGCUGAUCCGAGUAAUAAUGCUGGAUGGUCUCAUAAUUAUGAAUCUUCUCAACCUAAUGCCUUCAAAGCUAAAGGCUUUCUUGGAGUUCCUGCAGAAAGGCAUAAUAAUAAAGGUUUGGAGACAAUGGGAUCUAUUCUGGCUGUUAAGGAAGUCAUCAGUUUCGCCGAAUUAUUAGCACACGACGAUCUAGAAUGGGAAUCGAGGAAGAAAACACUGCACAUCGAUUCGAAGGUAAGCAAGUCAGAAGAAAAGAUUACUGAAAGUAUUCAAAAGUCUGUACCUUUUGGUGCUUGUGACCGCCCAUCUCCGGACAAUGUAUGUCGACUAAUUCGGUGGACGGGGAUGAUGAUGAUUACAGCGAACCGGACACUUCUUCGCUAGGUGUUUGUGGUUUCUUCCCUAGUUUCUGCUUGCAGAAUCGACUGAAUCCCAUUCCGGGGAUUAGAAAUCCGGCUUCUUCUGUCAGGACCAGACGAAAUAAGGUAUUUUGCAGACUUUUGAAUCGAGGCCUUAUGUCGAAAGAAGUAACACUAAUUUGUUGCUGUUUCUUUAUGUAGUAUGAUAAGGCUGCUGAACAUGGGAGAAGAGUAAUGAAUGAACCACCUCGACAACAAUCCGGAAAUUGUAUCAAUGAUUCUCAGACACGGUCCCAGCCGGCUGAUCCGAGUAAUAAUGCAGGAUGGUCACAUAAUUACCAAUCUUGUCAACCUGAUGUUUUUAUAGCUCAAGGCUUUCUUGGAGUUCCUGCAGAAAGGCAUAAUAAUAAAGGUUUGGAGACAAUGGGAUCUAUUCUGGCUGUUAAGGAAGUCAUCAGUUUCGCCGAAUUAUUAGCACACGACGAUCAAGAAUGGGAAUCGAGGAAGAAAACACUGCACAUCGAUCCAAUCGCAAGCAAGCCUGAAGAAAAGAGCACUGAUGGUGUCGCAAAGUCUGCAUCUUUGAUUGCUUGUGAUCGCCCAUCUCUAGACAAUGUAUCUCGAGCUGAUGUUUGUCGCGAUAAGAACCUUAUGCUUGCUGCUCCUGCAACAUCGGUGAAGAUUCCACCAGCUGAUGAAGUUCGUAAGGAACAAGACGAUUCUUCUCGAGGAUCAGUCAAGGACUCUACAGACUUCACAAGGCGAAAACUCAGUACUGGUCGUGGUGGUGGUGACAGUAACACAAGGCCAAGUCAAAGGAAACCUUGCCCUCUUCCUUUACCAUUACCGAAGUCUCCAUCGGAGUCGUGGCUGAAGAAAGCUCUGCCUACCGUUUCGUCAAGAACUCAGAUGUCGAAAUCUCCGCUUGGCAUGAUUCUCAUGCAUCAUCAUCCAAAAGAAGUUGAAGGUCACAACACAGAUCCAACAUGGGAAACUAUAGUGAAGAGUUCCUGUGAGAAGAACAGGAGGUUUCAGUUCUCUGAGGUAAUUAAUUAACAGACUUUUUUGAUUAAUUUACUUCCCUACUUGACAUUGAUAAGUUGAUAUUUCUGUUUGUACCCUAACAUAUAUCUUUCCUGUAAAGCAGGGCCAACUUACACCAAUACCAGAAGCCUAAGAAGUAUAGAAUCUUUUGUUUUGUUUUGUUUUCUGUAAAUCAUAGCUUACAAAAAGAAAGCUUUGUCUGAAGAAGAAGAAUAAAAGGGAGGUGGAUAAAGUGUACAUAUAUGAUCUGGAAUGCGUGUUUUUCUUUCUGUAAUGACAAGGACAAUGAAUGGGGGGGCCUCCACUUCGAUGCCUAGCCAGCCACCGAGCUUGCUCGACCGAAUCCACCACCUUUGACGAGUUUCGACAGAUCUUUCGAUCUGACAGGCUUCAUCUGUCCUGGCUCGUGACCGCAUCUCCUUAGCCUUCGUCCCGGAACGACAUAAUAGUGUAACGGUUGGUCCCAGAGAGACUUGAUCGUGUAAGAAAUUGGAUUGUUCAUGCAACACGCAAUAAUUCCCUUCCUUACAACUGGGCCAAUAAUUGUAUACAGUUGUUUGAAAGAUGCAAGGACAAUGAAUGAUGGGUUCCUUUUUGGCUGUCACUGGAAUUGGCAUAUGGAAUAACAUUAGUAGGCCAAAGUACAAGCUUUUUCGUCGUUGCCAUGUAGGGUCUCACUCAAAAUCAAAUGGUUCAAUUUGCCAUGAAUUCGAAAGCGAUUUGUCUUGCGAGUGUGUCCUUUCGAACCUUUGACAGAAUGUGAAGUGUUAGGCUAUCGUUAGAGUUGCUUUCCACCACAUUCUUCUGUAUUGUUUGUACCAUUUCACCCUGAUCACCGUAGAACAUCUAGGAACUGACAACUUCGGAUCGUCGUAGCACAGGUACAACUGAUCCUGUUCGUUUUUCGGCAGGUGAUACUUGACUUCUUACUACAUGGGUUGAGUAGGUAUAACUUCAUGUUACGUCUCAUUCUUAGAGGAUGUAACUUUUUCUACCGUCUCUCGUCCAUCUCGCCAAGCGGAACAGGACAACAAAUCCCUUCCCUUAGAACCAUACUUGAGAGUUUUUUUGUCUCAUACGGCUCAGCAGUCAAUUUUUUUAACGCCGCCGCCUCAUUUUUUCUCGAAUUAAGCAAAAAAGGUUAAUUGCAUUUUAUGAGUUUCGAACUUCAUUUUUAUUAUUUGAGAAUAGAGUAAUAAUCCGUUUCAUCUUUUUUCCCACCUUCAGAAGAAAAAAGUGCAAACAUUUUAUUAUCGUUUGAAUUUCAAUACAAAAAGCACAAGUGUUUUACUAUCGUUUGAAUUUUCUUUUAUUGAAAGGUAACUAUCUUAUAAAUUUUUAUUGAAUCUUUGAAAAAACCCUUCCCCAUAAAAAAAAGGCUUCCUAUCUUUGGAAUCUAAUUUUACACUGCUCCCGAAUACUUUAGGGGAUCACCUAUGUUACAUAAGUGGAUUUCUAAAUUUUGUCUCAUAUUAUGACAUAAUUAAGCAAUUUUUAUUAUAUCGACCAAAAAUCUCGCUAAUUGAUCUUUACGACGCUUUCUUUAUCAAUUAGACCUUUAUCCAUAGACUAAAAUAUCUAGGCAUCCUUUUUCUUCAUAUUUCGACUUCUAUGAAGUUUCUUUCCUUGCUACACAGUUGAUAAAAAUCGUUGUUUUGGGCGAUACAUAUGUAGAAAGUCUAUUUUUUUACUAGUCAAAUUUUCUAUUUCCUUUUUUUCUUUCUACGGUAUCCAAAGUCCGAGCGAGAUGAAUUUGCAGCAAUAUCGAUUUCUCUGUUGAGAGUUACUAUUUUUCGCCCUAAAAGUUAAGAAAAUGUCACUCUAAAUAGAUGAAAUGACUUAUAUGCCUUAUUUUUUUAAACAACAACCCGGCUGCCGGAGGCCAAACGAACGGCCGGCGCUCAGACAAUAGCAACAUACUGGUUUGGCAUUGUCAAGCAAUGAAUGCCGAUCCAACUAAAAUUCCCCCUUUCUUCCUUGAAGUAAAUCAUUAUGUACAUAGUCAAGUUGCAUGGUAACUAUUAUUUCAUUCCCAAAGGCUAUAUAUAUCAACAAAACACCUAACCAAUAUUUCUUGUUCUAUGGUGACCACCUCUAACUCAAAUGUUACCCCAUAACCAUAAUGCUCGGUUACACCGACGAAAAAAAACCCUACAAUUCUCAAGUUCGAAUUACCGGACCUUUGUAUAGACCUCUCCGUAUCACAAAGUUAUCAGGAGGUUGGAACUCCUCCAGCCAUGUCACCUCAGAAACUGUUGCACCAUCCACCUCAACUUCACCUUCAUUCACAUAAGAGAGCAUGAAUUAACGAGCCGAGCUUGAGCCUAGGGUAAACUCGAAGAAGAAGAAUUUUUACCAGGUAGGUCUCUUAUUGGUGACACCCGAAAGUAAGAGCAGUGCCUUCCAUGAUCUGAAGAGUAAGGAGGAGAUAGAAUGUCGAAGAUUGCGCAGGGUGUCACAGCCCUGAAACAGUGGAUGUUGCCUCCAGUGGUUGGAUAAAGAACCGUUGCAUUGCAUGGUGCUGUCGUAUCCUCGUCUCUAACAAGCUUGGCAGGUCUUGCUGAAGUUGAUACAAUAGAGGGUAAAUUUUUUUUAAUCUUGAUAGAGCUGAUACGGUUAGUGAAAUUGUGUUAAAUCGAUGUAUAUGCAAACCUUGUGCUGGAUCUGCAGGCUGAGAUGAAUCGAGCCAAUCGUACGACUUCACAUGCAUUGUUCCGUAUACGAGCUUGCUUAAUACUGUCAUUCCGGGAUGGUUAUGAAGAGGUAUGAUGGAAUUCGGUGGCAUGCAGAAAACGCCAAUCUGAAAACAGCGUGGAAAGAUCAGAAAACCAUGGCAAGAAAACAACUUUAUCGAUUCAAUCCCUCGUUCUUAUCCGGGGGACUUACAGAGAAGCUGUCACACUCAUGCAGGUGGAGGUAUUUGAUAGGUGGUAAAGUUUGACGGCGACCAUUUCGUUCUUGCACAGGACCUGACCAAUUGCGUACCAAUUGUGCCUCCUGCUCAAGACCUAUGUCAGAAGGUUUGAUUUUCUCUGCAAUCAACCAUAAGAGGAUUCUAUAAACAAGAGCGUUUGAUAGAUAGAUUAUACGACGAAGGUCAAGUAGUAUACUUUAACAACAAAGAGUCAUAUACUUAGCAGCAGAACCGAAAAUCUCGGGAUUGGCUCAUGUGGAUCAUAAAAUAUCAGCAAUCAGAGGACAUUUUGCAACAGAACAUGGUAACUGGUAAGUACUCAAGUUUCAUCAAUGUUCUGAUAUGAUUUGAUCUAGCUAAGAUCUGCCACCACUGAAGAACACAGUAACAAUGGUGGAAAGCAUCGAGAAACAGUAGUAUUGUCACCCUUAAUGCAUAAUUUUCACCUUAGCUAAUAGAUAGAGCAAUCUUGAAGCAAACAUAUGGAGAAAUGGGAGUACUUACCUAACAUAUUGCGAACCUUUUCAAGCGCUUCUUCCGAAACAGGGCCAUUGGUUGACAAAGACGACUUGCAAGUAUUAUACAGCCUUUGUAUAUAGUAAGGCAUGAUAAUACUAUACAAAAGGCCUUCUUCGAAUCAAAGCCUCGGUUUUCAGGGACCUGCUUGUUGGGACUUCUCCGAGAAACUUCUGAAACGAAGAUUGAAGGAGGAAGGAUGACAAAUUAACUUGUUGCAGGAACUGAGUUGCUUGUAAUGCAUCCGCAUGGCAGUUAUCUCAUCCUUCUCAGCCAAGUUUGACUAACUGGCUUAGCCUGUCUGAACACAAAUAAAAGAGUUAAUUAAACACCACGUCUUAUGGCAUACUACCCUCAAUUGAUACACAGAUCGAGUAAAACCUUACUCAAAUGGAUCAACAAUUUGAAUUGAGCAAAAGUCAAAAGUCAAAAACCAACAACCGGUAAUUCGCAUAGCUCGCAAACCAAGUGAUCUAUGAUUUGGAUGACCAAGUUGACCAGGUAGACCCAUAACCUGAUAAACUCAUGCGUAAUGAACCUCACACCAGCUGGACCCAUGACUCAUAACCAGAUUAACCCAUCUGUGAGCCGGCCAACCUGGCCCUUACAAAGCUCCACAAUCGAACAUAUACUCAAUGCCUCGUGUAAAGCUUUCAGCUUUCUUCCACUAUCCAGCUCACAGUCUACCAAAUCAAAGGAAAAACACGAGAAUCACCUCAAAGAGUUGUAAGCCACAAUACCCUCAUUUCUAUCCAACAUGGCUGAGGUAAAGCUUUCAGAUUCUUCCAAGUUCCAGCUCACAAUCAAUCAAAUUGAAUCCUAAUGGAUUGCCAAACAAAUCAGAAAAUAGCCUAAAACGCCAGAAUCACCUCAAAUUUCAGACAUUCAAAUCCCAAGUAAAGACUGACUGAACAACCCACCAUAUACACACACAAUUUUCAACCUUACAUCACCAUUUUCAACACAAACAAAAUUGGGUGGAAGGGAAUCGUGGAUGAGCUGAGAGAGAGUUUACCUGAAAGAAGAAAUGGAUCCGGGGCUGGGCUUGGCUCGCUCGCUCGCCAAGCGGGAACGAGUAGAAGCGAGCAAGGUAAUGGAGACAAAAAACGGCAAAAGGGAGAAGAUCUUGGACACGUUAUUGGGUACACUUCUGCCUCUUCGCUUGCUCCUAGCAACACUUGUUUAGGCAAAACUAUGGGCUGGAUUUUGGGACUGGGAAUCUGGGAUGGUCAUUUACUCAUUUCGGGUCAAAAUGGUUUGGUUUUCUAUUAAUCAGUCUUGUUUUGUAACUUGACUAAACUUAACGGACUAUUAUGAAUUUUUCCUGCAUCAUCAUCAUACUCUUCCUCUUCAGUCUCUGGUGCCUGAUUGAUUGAUUGUUGAAAACCUUCUGAAGAAGUUAGUUUGGGAAUUUGAUGAACGAAGACCGACCUCGAUUGGUUACAGGCGCGAAGAAUUUUCGAAUCAGCACUGCGAAGCGGACGCAUCUCCCGAUUCAUCACCUUCCCUAAUUCUUGAUCACCGAGAGCAGCGAAGGGUGAGGUGCUGCUCUGAUACAACCAUGGCCGCCUUGGUGGAUGUCACUAAAUCAUGCCUCGAUUCCAUCAUUCAGGUGAAAUUCAUCCACCCAUCUUCGCUCUCAUUGAUUUAUAGCAUGAGGUUUUUUAUUUGCUGUAUUCAUAAAGUGAUGGGAACCAGUCUUCUUGGUUUCGAUAUGGCUGUUGAUGGAAAAUCGUUUGAUAUGUUUGGAGGGAACUUGAUUCAUCCAUUAGCGAACUUGUCAUUAAAUGGAUUUAACUUCUCUGCUGGCAUUUCCACUUCUCUAGUCCAGUUGCUUCAUGGACUCUUGAAUGAGAAAGAAUUUCUUUUUCCUCUCUUGUUUAAUUCUGUUUUCUGUUUCCUGCUGUUCUUUUGUUAGAUGAGAGAACAUUUGGAGGGUGCCAUUAUUUAUCUGGAUUCGGGAUGCACAGAGAGCUUUCAAUUUGCUGGAGCAUUUCCUGUGUUGCUGGACCUUGAAGUUCGAGCUGUGUGCAGCCUUGAAAAUAUGUCUUCUCUUGAUGCGGUAAGUGCGUGGUAGCUUUGUUUUUCUACGUUCAUUGUUGCGUUUUCCCGGUUAUAUAUUGAUUGACAUAAUAAGCAAUAGGGAAGCGUGAGUAGACAAUUCUGGACACAGGACUAUCCAGACUUGCUUGCGCAUUAGUAUCGGACAUUAUAGAAGCAUGCAUGUGUUUUGAAUAAGAUGUGAAUCGUUACAUCUUGACCAUUGUCUUUACGAAUGCCAAAAAUUAUACAGUCUAUAAAAAUCAUAGACCAUAAACAUAUGUUAUAUCUAUAAAGCCAACAUUAGAGUCUUCAUGCGGAAACUGAUACUUGACUUUGUGUUAAUGCAAACACCAAAGUAGUGGAGAGUUACUAUUGGAAAAAAAUACUUGCAUUUGAUGUGGGAUUUAUUUUCUGGCAUAUUGCUUCCUCCUUUGUGUUUUGUUUGUUUCUCAGUCUUCCGAUUUUGCGAUUUAUCCUGGCAUUAAUGAUGUUGAUUUCAUCCUGAAAAAUUGAUUAUGCAUGUAGUUUAUUUCUGCAGGUGGUGAGUUGGAACUCAAACAGUGAUGUUGCAAGGAAGAUCGUGGUUUUUACGUCUCGCUUCUUGAGUGAUGCACAUCGUUACAUCUUACGGUGUCUGAGCACACAUGAGAAUGUUCAGAAAUGUACAGUUUAUACUUCUAUCUCAGAGGUACAUUUUGCGAGUUUAUGUAGGCAUGCUUCUUCAAUACUAAAACCACUGUGCACUGAAAAAUGUUCUCAAUAUCUCAUCUUCAGCAAUGUAUUGAAUUGUGUAAUUUUCCCAAGUACCCCACCCCUUUUGCACCAAACUAAAUGCUUGCAAGUUUUUGUCAAAUGUAGACCUCUCACUCAGCGUAUCCAGAUUCACCUCUGGGGCCGGAUGCUUACCAUGAGUAUGAAUCCUUGCUUCUUCAAGAUUUUGAUGAGCUUGUAAAGAAGGGUGGAAAGAAGGCUGAUUCCGUAGAAGACAUGAAGUUCCAGGGAAAUUUAAGCUUUGAGAAAGAAGGAUGGGCACAACUCACAUUCGAGGAAGAAGGUGCUUCCCGUCUUGAUGCUAGUUCAAGCAGAAGAGAGAACGACAGUAUAGAUUCAAAGUUGGUUGUUUCAGUACACCAUUUCCCAAUGCUUUUGUGUCCUUUGUCCCGUAGAGUCUUCGUCUUACCAUCAGAGGGAUCAGUUGCCGAAGCAUCUUUAUCAUCUGAAAAUGAGGAUUCUCUCAGUCCUGGACUACCAGCAAUCAGUACAGGGGUGCUUGCAGAUAGUGAAGAUGUUCUACCUGGAGCCCUUCUUACUGCACAUUUCCUUUAUCAUUUAGCUGCAAAGGUACGACUAGCAUGCUUAAGCAACCAUGAAGUGCGCCUUUUCCAAUUUGUUCAUAUUCAAAAUUUUAUUAUGUUGUACCAUCAUGGUGGUGGUGGUACAUGGUUGUCUUUUUCAAUUACUACAGAAUAAUGGUUUGGAAGACGGUAUUUCUUAGAUUCAUUUAUCCCAGUAUCUAAUUUUGUUAAGAAAAAUUAACGAAGCAGAUUCUUUUGUCUAUUUGUGAAAGUGGUUUGUUAGCUUUCUCUUGCUGAUUUUGUAUAUAUGCGAUGGCCAGACCACAUCUGCAAGUCAUUCAUACAUAGCUCAGAAUGUGCUCUUGUUCGCCAAACAACUUUCUUCUUCCUGAGUAUUGUCUUUUAAGCGCAGAUGGAUCUAAAGCUGGAAAUAUUUUCCCUUGGAGAUCUUUCAAAGACAGUUGGCAAGAUUAUGACAGACAUGUCAAGUCUAUAUGAUGUGGGCCGUCGGAAGCGUUCAGCAGGGUUGUUGAUAAUUGACCGGACGCUGGAUCUCCUCACUCCAUGCUUCCAUGCGGAUUCACUUGUUGACCGCAUGUUCUCAGCUUUACCCAGAAGGGAGAGAGUAUCCCAGUCUCAGGUCAAAGACUCACAGAGCCAGCUCAAACUCCGUUCUUCAAACCUACAACGUGCUCCUCUUGGUGUAAAGAUACCGCUUGCAGAAAUAUUAAGCGAUGAAAUAAAGGAGUGUCAGCUUUUAGAAAGAAUCGAAGCUUUCCUAGAUGGUUGGGAUACCCAGAAAUCUUCUCUUCCCGUUGCUCAACUGUUUAAUGGAUCCUUCGUCUCCACUGAAAGUUUUCUGGGCACGGCAUUUAUGGAGGCCUUAUUAGAUAGAAGAACCAAAGAUGGAGCAUUGCUGGUUAAAAGGUGGCUGCAGGAAACCCUGCAUCGUGAAAAAAUCAGUUUAGGUUCUAAAACUCGUUCCGGGUUCGCUUCAGCUGAAGUCCAAGCAAUGGUAAAAGCACUGGCGAAAAACCAAUCUUCAUUGGUGAAAAACAAAGGAGUUAUCCUGUUGGCAGCUGCUGCAAUUUCAGCCUUUGAAGCAUCAUUUUCUGCUCGAUGGGAUGCAUUCAUCAGUGCCGAGAAAAUACUAAAUGCAAGCGCUGAAGACACGAGCCAGAAUCUUGCUGCUCAAAUCGUCGAUCUUGUUAACAAGAGUGGUUUAAUUGGAGGAAUGGAAUCCUCACAAGGAUUGAUUUCUUUCCAAGAUGCAUUGCUGCUCAUGAUUGCUGGUUACAUGUUAGCCGGCGAGAAUUUCCCUACAUCAGGGUCAGGAGGUCCCUUUUCGUGGCAAGAGGAGCACUUCAUGAAAGAAGCCGUCGUAGAAGUGAUCCUCGAAAAGGCGCCAGUAGCCAAGCUUAAGUUUCUCGAAGGUCUAAAGGAAGCGCUUGAGGCAAACUUAAACAGACUGAGAUCCAAAGACGCUGCUGAAUCAUCGGAGGAUCACAUCGACCUUGAUGAUUUGGAUGAUGACCAAUGGGGUAAGUGGGGCGACGAGGAAGAAGAAGAAGAAGCCAUUGAUAAGAAGAACAAAGAUCAGUUGUACGACGACAUGCAGCUGAAGCUGGAGUUACGUGAUAAAGUCGAUAGCUUCUUCAAGUUCCUCCACAAGUUAUCCAUGGUGAGGAUGAAGAGCGUUCCGUUGAAGGACGGUUUGUUCUCGGGGGGAAGCAAUUUCGGAGGCGAGACGGACUUGUACAGAGGAUUGUUAUACAAGGUACUGACAAGAGUGUUGAGCAAAGCUGAUAUUCCGGGAAUGGAGUACCAUUCCUCAACCGUCGGCAGACUGUUCAAGAGUAGUUUUGGAAGGUUUGUUGGACAGGUAAGUUUUUCUACACAAAAUCGCACAUUCGACAUCUUCAAAACAAUGUGGUAGUCACCGGAUCUCGCGGUUCUUAUUUUUCUUGCAGGCGAAGCCAAGCCUAGGAGAUCAGAACAUCAUUAUGGUUUUCGUCGUUGGAGGCAUCAACGCUGUUGAGGUAUAUCCCUAGCCCUUAGUCUAGGGCUGUUUACGAACCAAACCAAACCGAGCUCAUUGAACCAUUUCCUGUUCUGGUUCUCGAUUAACACACAGAAUUGGAUUCCUACUGAUCGUUCUUCGUUGCGUUCAGGUGCUGGAAGUUCAGGAGGCUUUGUCGGAAAGCGAAAGGCCAGAUGUGGAACUGAUUCUUGGGGGAACGACAAUCCUUACACCAGAUGAUAUGUUUGAUUUGCUGAUUGGAGAAUCCAGUUACUUGUGAACCAGUAACAGAAAGUUUCCUUUUGUUUUUCUUUUUUUGCUAGCACAGAAGAUACUGCUUAAGUACUAACAUAGCGUCUGCAAACUUCGUUGAACUGAUAGAUUUUCGACCAUUGUAAAGUAGAUUCAAAAUUCAAUAUUUAAAUUUAAUGGUGUUACUAAACACGAUUAUCCAAAAUAAUGACUAUUAGCACUGCUAUAAAAAUCUCUAUGAAUAGAGAUCACAUCCUUGCAACUCGCCUUCUCUCGUUCUCUACAUUUUCUUCAAUCUACGAGUCAGCAGUGACAAUUUAAAUCUAUCGGCCUGAAACCGUCUCGAGUUCUUCCUCAUACUUGCUUGUCCUGAUCAGCAUGACCCCUAGCAAAUCACUUUAGCCAUUCAAUGAUGUGUUUGGUGCUUUUAGUGUGGAUUUGGCAGGUAGAUAGUGAAGGAACACAAAGCUAGUGUUUUCUAGGCUAUUAUGACAAUGGAGCACUCGUUGUGUGGCAGCUGGUGGCGUGGUGGUCCUGUGUGGUGAUAAUAGAGCUGCCCACAUAAUGGUAAGAUGAACUCUUUCACAUCUCUAAAACCGUGUGAGACAAAUCUCACAAUUUAGAUAGAUAUCGUAACUUAUCUUUCAUGUAUGCUAUAUAUUUCGAUUCCUCCCAAGGCUAUUGACGUAGAAAAAAAGACUGAAACUGAAAUCGGAGAUCCGAGUCAGCAAUUUCAAGUCGUAAACUUUUCAAAAAUGAGUCAACUGCAUGUUUUCCAUUGUUAACAAACCGUCGCCUCCCCUCGCAUGACGCAGAACAAACGAAACGCUUCCUGUAAUUUCCUCUGUCUCUACAUUUCAAACGAUUCUCAAACAGGUAUAAAUAACGCCAUCAUCAUAUCCUUUCACGUUCCAACUCCCCGCACAGCCAUGGAUCGCGGCUUGACCAACUACUUCCAUCUCAACAUGAUCGCCACAGUAACAACCACCAAACCCACCGGACUCCAAGCCGUAACCACCAGACUCAUCAACAGAGGCUUCCUUCUCAACCGCUGGCACAUGCUCACCGACGGACUCGCAACUCUGCACAUGCGGAGGAUCGCCAAGACCAUGGGAAUCCCGUUUCAUGGCGCGAUGGCGAAGAAGGUGUUGGAAACCUCGAUCAGCCUCUCCGAGAUCGGACGUACUUUCGCUGUCAAAGGCGGGCAGCCGUUCGUGACUGUUGUUGUCGCUGUCGAAAAUGGCGAAGUGACUCGAGUUGUGGGGGAGUUUGAUCGGGGUGAUGAGGAACUUGAUGAUGGUUGGGAUACUGAAGAGGAGGAUUGAGUCUAUACAUUGUGCGUUUUGUGUUUUGUGUUUCUGCGUUUUGUUUGUUCUGUGGACAAGUCAGUGUUAUGUGUGUUUUCUUCAGAAACGGUCAACGAAAUGAUGAAACAAAUGAGUAGGUUUCUUGCAGUGCAAGUACACCAUUCCACAGAUUCUCGAAAUGACCAUGUUCUUCUUAGGAUCCGUUCAUCUUAUUGCGUCGAAAUCAGAAUGAUUUAGUAUAUACAAGUUCUGAAUUCCUUUAUCUUAUACGAUCUAUAUUACCUCAACCACAUAUACAUUAGGCGUUACACAACAUUUGUCGAGAUAAAUUUACACUAACAUCUAGAAUUUUUGGAUGGACCGGACCAAGGUGUAACAGGCCCACGAUUGGGCCCUCCCGAAUUGACUCGUUUGUUUAGUGAGGCCCGCAAUUAAUAUUAUAUCCGUGGAAUGGGACUAGUUUUGUCUUAUUAUAGGUGUGGGGCAUUGUUCAGCGGGGUCAAAACAUAUUUCCACUCAGUCAAAUCCUCAGACCUCACGGACCUGCACAGCAGCAGGAUAUUAUCACAUAUGUUUGCAUGCUUCAUCACCCUUGCACUCUGCUUACAUUGCAGCUUGGUCAUUAUCCUUCUAUAUAUUACAGUAUUAGGCAUGUCAAAAAUUUGUCAGUCGACGAAAUCGCAAGCCACCAAUAGAUAAGUUGUGCAUUAGUUUAUCACACCACUAAGAAAUUUGUCUUAUGUACAUCGAUAGAUAGAUUUUCCGAUAGUAUACAAGCUCGUCUGAUAAUUCGAAUUCGUCUCGUUGAUUACACACUUUGCCUAAGGAGUAAUAGUAUGAACCAAAUUGAAAUAAUGAAAUAUUACAGGCACUAAAAUGCAAAGGUAAGGAAAACACAGUCAGUCCCUGACUCCCUCUCUGUUCCCCGCGCUAGAAAAACAAGAGAAAAAAUGGGUACACACACAGAAAUUCCCAACUGUUCAAACCACAAAGCAGCAGCGAGCUUCGUCACUCACUCACACUCACACUCACAGAGCGAAAAGGGAGGGGGGGGGGGGGGGGGGGAAACAACACCAUUCCCCACAAAAAAUUAUUAUACACGGUCUUCAUGUAUUCACGGGGGGGGGGGGGGGGGGGGGGGGGGGGGGGGGGGGGGGGGGGGGGGGGGGGGGGGGGGGGGGGGGGGGGGGGGGGGGGGGGGGGGGGGGGGGGGGGGGGGGGGGGGGGGAGUAUGAGGGGGGGGGGGGGGGGGGGGGGGGGGUGCGGGGGGGGGCGGGGGGGGGGGGGGGGGGGGGGGGAAGAAAUUACACCUUGACCUCCAAUAAUUCAUUUAUACGGUCUCAGAGUCUUCCCGCACGAGCUCCGGCGACAGUACGACGGACAGAUUUUGACUGUCAGAGAUGGUAGCCGACGACGAUGAUUACAGAAGGAAAGCUCGCCUUGCACUGCUGGCCGUCGUGGUGAUCUCCUCCAUGGCCAUCUCUGCUCUUCUCGUUGCGUUUAGCUACUACUGCUACAUUCGUAACAAGGUCUCCCGACGCCUUGCGAGCCGGAAGAGUAAGUCACGGUCCCAUUUCUUUCUUUGUAAUGUGUAGGAAAAUAUAAGGGAAAAUGUUUGAGAGAAGUCGUCUUUUCUUGCUGUUUGUGUCAUUUGCUGCUAUUUUGGUGCUAGAAAAUGUGAUUGUUGAAAUAGGGAAAUGUUAAUUCGUCUCUGUAAAUGGAGCAUUGAAAAACCCUAGCCAUAUCUGGAGCUCUAGAUUGAUCAGUAGUAUGUUUUUUCAAGGGAGAUCUUUGUUACUUGUAUUCAAUUUUUCCUGUUCUGUUUUCUUUCGUUCUAGGGUUUGAUAACGAUGAUGAUGGUGGCUUUUCUGGUGUUGAAGUGACCACUGACAAAGGACUUCAUGUGUUCACAUUCAAGCAGCUUCAUUCUGCUACUGGUGGCUUCAGCAAGUCGAAUGUAGUAGGUCAUGGUGGAUUUGGCUCGGUCUAUCGUGGUGUUCUUAGUAAUGGAAGGAAAGUUGCAAUUAAGGUCAUGGAUCAAGAAGGGAAGCAGGGAGAAGAAGAAUUUGAAGUGGAGGUUCUUGUCUGUCUUUCGCUUUUCCAACUCGGUUUUUUCCAAUUUCUUCAUCCAUCUAUUCUUGUUAGGUUCAAGUAUGAGGGUGAUUACAUCUGCAUUCUUGUUUAAUUACAGGUAGAACUGUUGAGUCGGCUGCGCUCCCCGUACUUGUUAGCAUUAAUGGGGUACUGCUCGGGCAACAAUCGUAAGCUGCUAGUUUACGAUUUCAUGGCGAACGGUGGCCUGCAAGAACAUUUGUAUCCUCUCCCUGGUAAGUUCGAGCUGAAUUGAAAAUGUUUGCUGAACUUGUGGAUCUCUAUUACACUUCUUUCUAUGGUGCUAGACUAUAUGUUGAUGUCUUAGAAUAUGCAGGAUCAAAUGCGACAUACAGGAAGUUGGACUGGGAAACAAGGCUGAGAAUCGCCCUAGAAGCUGCAAAGGGCUUGGAAUAUCUCCAUGAACAUGUCAGUCCUCCGGUCAUUCACAGAGACUUCAAGAGCAGCAAUAUCCUCCUAGACAAAAGCUUCCACGCCAAAGUUUCCGAUUUCGGAUUAGCCAAGCUGGGACCCGACAGAGUUAGUGAGCAUGUCUCCACUCGAGUCCUUGGCACUCAAGGAUAUGUUGCCCCCGAGUAAAGAAACCUUUACACACAUUAUGAUAUUUCCCACAACUUAUACUCAUAGUUACACUAUCAAUCGAAUCUUCAAAUUCAUUACAGGUACGCAUUAACAGGGCACUUGACCACAAAGUCAGACGUCUACAGCUACGGUGUGGUUCUGCUGGAGUUGCUCACCGGGAGAGUUCCGGUCGACAUGAAGAGACCAUUUGGCGAAGGCGUUCUCGUAUCUUGGGUAAGAAGAAAUCUUAUCUUGUGUCCAUUUAGUUGAUGGAUCUGUAUCCAGUACUCAACCAGUUUAUACCGUUUUGAUUCCAUAAAACAGGCGCUACCAAGGCUGACAGACAGAGAUCAGGUUCUCCAGAUAAUGGAUCCAGCGUUGGAAGGUCAGUACUCUAUGAAAGAGGUUGUUCAAGUAGCAGCAAUCGCGGCAAUGUGCGUUCAAGCGGAGGCAGAUUAUAGGCCAUUGAUGGCUGAUGUGGUGCAGUCGUUAGUCCCACUGGUUCGAUCGACUUCGAAGUUGGGAACUUGCUCUAGCUUCCAUGCUCCCAAGUCUCCUAUGCCACAGGAAGUUGGUAGAGCAAGAGUUUAGAGAGAGAUUUCCUUUACUAAAAACAAUGUAUCCAAAGUUAACUGAAGCCCUUCUAUGGUCAGCCCAAUAAGUGUUGGGCUUGAUCGAAUUGCCUUCUACUCAGGUCUCAGGCCCAGUAUGACCAGUAUUGAUCGUUACAACUAAUUUUUUUGUUUGAUUUGGUUAGCUACUUUAUUUAGUUCGGUUAACUUUGGAUAAGCGUGUUAAACCAUUAACCAUUUAGAAUUUUAAUGGUUAUUUUGGUCAACCAAACUAAGCUCAGUACUUCAGAAUGGUUUGGUUCCAACAUGAUAACCAAAUUGACGGUCUUAAUCCAACAAAUAGCGACUCGUGGAUUGGGAAUUUUGUUAACGGAAUGGGUUGAACACGUGUAGUUGAUGAUAUGUGGUUUAACUAUUUAAACUAUUAUAAACUGAAGCCAUAUCAUAAUUACAUAGGGUUGUGUCACAACUUAUUGAUAAUUGGUUGACGGUUCAUUCUAUGGGACCUAGUUUUGAUAACACUGGUUAGCGGUUACUUCAGAACGGAGUACCAUUUUGCUAAAUUGAAAACCCCGAAGGACUUGUUAGUAACGAAUCCCCGAGUUAGAUGACUAUUUCUAUAAUUAUUCCUGACCUCUUCAUAAACCCUAGAUAGGAAAGGAGGAGUAUAUAAGACUAAGAGCUUUCUCUGUCUCCAUUCUUAUCUCCGAAACUCAGCAACGGUGGCAGCUCUCAGAUUUCUCCUCCAGAAGCAGCAUCCGUGAAGAAGCUCUCCAAUGGUGUGUGUGUGUGUCUCUCUCUCUCCCCGUCAUCGUAUUUGUUCAGCUCAGUGGUUUCAUAUCCGCGUGUUCUAACAUUAUCGAUGUAAUGCUGAAACACAGGCGGCCGAGAGGAAGCUUAGUAACCCUAUGAGGGAAAUCAAGGUCCAGAAGCUGGUCCUCAACAUAUCCGUCGGCGAGAGCGGCGAUCGCCUCACCAGAGCUGCUAAGGUGACAAUCUUCCCGCCGCCGCGGGUAUGUUUUGUUCUUUUAUGUUCGUUCUUCUUUGACCUGAGUAUUUGAUUUUUCUUCGUUGCAGGUGUUGGAACAACUCAGUGGACAGACCCCUGUCUUCUCCAAAGGUAUUGCUCCUUACUUUGGUUUGGAUUCGAGUUAUUGUUAAGCUGAUCUAUGUUGUUUUCAAUUAGGGUGGUAGGGUUUCUCAGAGUGUUUGAACUUGUUGAGCUGCCUAAUUCAAAUGAUGUUAGUUAGGCCUUUAUUAGGAAAAUGAGCUUGCAGCUUCAUCAGAAAGAAGCUAGAUGUGAAAAAUGAUUGCAUACUAUCUGAAAAAUGAGUUCCAUUCCUAAACAUCAAUCUGUAAUCCUCUCUUGUAAUGAGAUUCACAGUCUAGGGUUGUAGCUGACUUGAGUACAUUUGUGAUCAAUAGCAAGGUACACUGUUAGGUCCUUUGGUAUCAGGCGUAAUGAGAAGAUUGCCUGCUAUGUCACUGUGAGAGGAGACAAGGCGAUGCAACUGUUGGAAAGUGGAUUGAAGGUGAAGGAGUACGAACUCCUCAGGAGGAACUUUAGCGAUACUGGAUGCUUUGGGUUCGGUAUUCAGGAGCACAUUGAUUUGGGUAUCAAGUAAGUUACUUAUUGAUCUUUGUUCUCCCACCUUGGAACAUUUUAUGCCGACUCACAUACUAAGAUUUUUUGUUCAAGUGUUUCAAUGCAAGUUUGAUAGACAUAGUUAAAUUGUCCAAUAUUGUGAUCUUUUAGUAUGCAUCUCUGUAUUGUUUACUGAACAUUAGUCUUGUGACAGUUGCCAGACCUCUAUAGUGUGCCUGAUUUGCAUUCUAAAUGUAAAAAACAUAAAGCUUCCCAAGUCUUUAAGCUUUGAUUUUGAGAAUUUCACCUAGGGUUUUGUCACUCCAUACUUCGAAGAAUGAUGUAAUGAAUUGGGCAUGUUCAAAAAUUGUUGAAUUGUUGUAAUUUUUUGCUAAUUACACUGGUUGUCUAACCUGUUUCCAACGUUACCAGGUACGAUCCUUCCACUGGUAUUUACGGAAUGGACUUCUUUGUCGUCCUCGAGCGACCUGGGUACCGUGUUGCCCGUCGCCGUAGGUGCAAGGCCCGCGUUGGUAUUCACCAGAGGGUAACCAAGGAUGAUGCCAUGAAGUGGUUCCAGGUCAAAUAUGAAGGAGUUAUCCUCAACAAGGCUCAGAACAUUACUGGUUAAAUUCAAAGCUGCUAGUUGAACCCCUUUUAUUUAGCUUAAACCCCGAGACCCUAAAUUUUGAGACUUGUUAUGUUUGUAUGAAAUUGUGUUUCAACUUGGUUGUGUGAUCAUUCCCCGUCAGUUUUCAUUUGAUUGAAGGGAACUUGUUCGAUCUUUGCUUCAUCUCUGUGAUGCUGAGUUUCGGUCUUCUUUCGAGCACUUGUUUAGUAAUAAUUAGCGUUAAAGUAGUUAAUCUGUACUAAUACAAACAUGGAGCGGCUUGCCUCGAAAGUCCGCAAGGACCCGACUAUGUCGAUGUUAUGUUUGGCUCCUUGUCGUGCAUGACACCCUACUCACUCGUGGCUAUAUUUCUUUAUCUUUCAUCCAUCCUAGAAUCAACAGCUCGUGGCCAAGCAAGUCGGACUUGACUUGCUCCCAUUGGAUUGGAACCACUGAACUUACAUUUCAAGCCUUUUAUAAAACAUUCCUUUUAUGGAUGAAUAGUAAUACACGAAAGCUUUCGUGUAAAAAGAACGAAGUCAACUCUUGAUGAUUUCGACUUCACGAUGGCACUGGUUUGGCUGAACGAUCUGAUUCUGUUUGAUAACGAUGGCCAAAUUUAAGCAAGAAAACCGUGGUCCGUAAACUAGCUAACUUGAACUACAUUCCAAAUUGGCAUCGCCCUGGCUGAAUGAUCCGAUUCCGUUUGAUAACAAUGGCCAAAUUUGAGGAGAAAAAAACCUAAUCCGUAAACAACUAGCUAUCUCGGAGUAGAUUCCAAUUUCAGACAAGGUUAUUGACCUUGUUCUGAUUCUAUAAACUUCUAAAUCAUCAUGUUCGAAGGUUAAUGUAUGUUUUGUCUAGUGUUCUUCGAACAAAAAAUGAGGAUUUGUUGGUUAAGUCACGCGAACCAACCCAAGCGGACAGCCAGCUGGAUGUCUGGGAGAGGCCCCUCACAGAUCCACCUUUUCUCCCACCCACGUGACUCCCGCCUCAAACUCACGUGACGUCACGCCACUUUUCCAUUUCCUACCUUCACUCACCUUUUUUCACGUCAGAUCCUGUCUGUUUGACGUAAUUAAUAUAUGGUCACUAGCUCAUAAAAACAUUCAUAUUAUUAACUACCUCAAUCUCGAUAAUUCGAUCGUGCACAACCAAUGACAUUGUUAAGAUUUCUAUCAAAUAUAUUAGUAAUAUCUACCAUGAUCCAUGUUGAGUGUUAAAAUUUAAUUAUCUCAAAUACAUAUGCUCGACUAGAUACAAAAUAAUCAAGGAUAUCUCAUUAAUAUAGACUUUUCGGUAAACUGGAUAUAAUCUGUGUAUACCAAAAGAUCUUAAUUAAUUAUCAUCUAAUGCAAUGUCUUGCAUAAAUUAAAAUAAGAGUGUUAAUUAUUUUUAUCGAAGAUAGAUGUCAAAUGGUUUAGACAUUCCAUGUUACAGGGUGAUACCUUUUAUGUGUUGAAGUUUUGUAAAGACAUUUUAUUUCAACCAUUUGAGAUCAAGUAAGGAAAUUUCUAAAGUUAAGGGAGGUUGAUUCUUGGCUGGGAAAGUUAAGUGAUCAAAUCAUAAUUAGCUAAACUUACCAAUUUGCCGAAGAUGCAAUGAAGUUUCCUAACUUUAGGAUCUAUCUAUAAAUUUCAAAAAGUAAUGAGUCAAAACGUACAAAUACUUCAUUAUAACCUUUUUUUCUCAAAUAACUAAAAAAGUAUAUGAGAAUUACUCGUAAUAUUUUCGAGAGAUAUUCAAAAGGUAGACAUAUCAUAUAUUAGACGAAUGUCGGUUGAAUGAAAAAUUUAUCGUUGACAGAUUUUCAGGAUAGAUUUCUAACACGAGAGCGAUUUUUUCGGCAAUAACACCAUUAUUGACAAGAAAGUGUAUUCGCAUGAACACAACUACCAAUUUGAAUCUCUCAAUGUCUAUUGGAAAAAAAUUGAUAGUACCACAUAUAGACAGAUAUCAUAAAAUAUUAAUAACUCGUCUAAUGAAUGAUUAAAAAUUUCUAAAUAUAGAUAUUAACAAUAUGAAACGAUUCCUUUAAAGUUACGGAAAAUCCAUCCGAACGCGUCAAUUUACGGGUUAGUAACCGUUUCUUACGUCAAUUAUGGUAAUUAAGACCGUAAAAAGAAGAGAGAUCAAAUGUAAGAAAACGGAAAAGGAAAAAAAACAAAGCGAUCUCCCUCUCUCUCUCUCUUCGUUUCUUUUCUCCUUCCUUGCGUUCCAAUCUCCGCCAUCGCUACUCCUCUCUCUCUGUCUCUCUCUCUCUCUCUCUCUCUCUCUCUCUCUCUCUGCGUGUGUCGCUCGCGUUCACUGUGUACCUACCGACUGUACAAACGUGAGUCCCGAAGAACUAGCAAAGGAGAUUUGCAGCUGUUCUUGCGGCCCGGUGCUGCCAAUCCUAAUCAACUUCGUUUUGAUCACUUCUUUCUUCUAGCUCGAAAACGCUCCAUCCACUAGCUUAGGCCGGAGCCGGUAGUGAAGGUACAGGGACGGUGUGUUUGAGAUUGAGAUGAUUCUGAUUCAUCCAAAGUAGUGCUGAGACUCAAAUGCUAUUAGUUGGAGUGGGAGCUUUUGGAGAUUUCUCUCUGGCUUGGAUCUGCUGCUGGUAAAGCAUCCUCCAUUGUUCUUCAGUUGCUUUGAUCUUGUUAUCUUGGAUUCAAUAUGUGCGUUUCUUCGUUUGAAUCCGAGUUUGUUGCCGUUGUCGUGGUGCUCAUUGUCUGGCUAUUCCAUCGCCAACCGUGUCACAUUGUAGAAUCAACCAUUGGUUAUUGUUGAGUUGAGCUGUGAUUGAUUUCCUGUUUAGUUUUCUCGAGAUUUCUUUGAUCGAUUAGUUAAGGACUGGAAGAAUUUUUUAUUGGAGAACUGUUCUGGUAUAGAAUGACAGCGAUGGGACUGUGUUAUAGUGAUUCUCUUCAUGAUAAUAAAUUUAGCGGAACUGUGGAACUGCAAGUCAAUAAAGAUCACAGCGGUGUGAUUAAGUAUAGCUGUAAUGAACUGAGGUAUUGCCGGAAUCGACUGUUCCAGCAGCUGUGAAGUGUUAAGUUCUUGAUUGAUUUUGGGAGUUCUUGAAAUGGAAUCUGAACAUCUGUAAUGGAAACUAGUUAUUCUUGCUGAUCUAGCUCGAGAAUUCUGUGAUAGCAAGACACCGUGUCCUGAUGUUAGUAGUUGAAUGUUGUCAAAUGUCCACUGCUCUUCUUUAGUGUUUAAUGUCGUCUUGUUUGAAAGGGUUUGCAGGUCAAAUGUCCACUGGCUUCACUACAAUGGAAAUGGGAAGGUUUAUUGUAAGGUCUGAAGUUGUUCAAGAACUAUUGUCAUGUUGAGUAAGUUCUUUUCGAGGCGAGGAGUGGAGUUGAAAUGGUUAUACAUUCCAAAUCUCUAAGAAAAUGGAGGAGAUGCGAGAUGAUUCAGGGUCAGCAGAGCAAGGGCCUUCUGGUGCAGCAUGGUGGGGUUCUGAUUUUAUGGAGAAAUUUGGCUCUGUUUCGAUGCAUCCCCAAGAGGAUAGUUUGAGUAAUAAAGAAUCACCUCGAACUCAUGAAGAAGAUAGCUUAUCUUCACAGACUGCGUCACAAGUUUUAUGGAGCAUUGGAAUGCUUUCUGAACCAAUACCAAAUGGCUUCUACUCUGUCCAACCUGUGAGAUUCUACUUUAAGCUGUCUUAAUCACUGCAUCUAAUAUUUUAUACGAAAUAUCAUUUUCGUAUUUUGGUAGCUGGUGUUUUCAUCUUGGAAAAGAAAACCCUGUUUUUGAGUAUUUUGGAUCUUCUGUACUUGUCUGAUCUUGACCAAGUAUGAACUAUGAUGCUCAUUUGUUCACACGAUGUAUAGGUUUUGUAUAUUUGGUUCGACAUGUGAGUGCCAUUUAACGCACAUGAAUAAGGAUAUGUGGAAUUGCAGAUGGUGCACCCAUGGUAGUGUUAGCAAAUCCUCCUUGGAUAUAUGAAUGAUCCCUUAUUCUUCGUGUUUAUGAGCUUACCUGGUAAUCUGAAAAGAAUGCUCGCUCUUUGUCAUCAACUUCUUUCCCUUACACAUUAUAUGGUAAGAAUAACUUAUUUUCAAGGCUUUUCAAACAUCCUUAGUGUACAAUAGGAAAAUGCCAGAUUCCUACUUAACAAACAAAAAAUGCAAGAUUCCUGCUGAUAGCUCACAACUUACCAUUUACAGUUUAUAUACUAUUGGAAUGCUUUUUUAGUUUUUCAUGAUGCCAAGGAAGAGAAAAAUGGUAUUCAUCUGGUGCUUAAUGUUAUGGUGUAUUCAGACAGUUGAGCGACUUCACGUCUUCUUUGGGAUUUCUGUUUAUCUGAGUACAUGAGAGCUACUUACUUAGGUGUCCGUGGUGAUUAUCUCAAUCUCAACCAAACGAGGCAAAAUUUUGUUUCACAUUUGAAUUUCUGAGCUCCAAAUACAGAUGCUGGCUGAUUAUGUCAGCUUCUUAUAAGUUGGUCUGUCUUCAACGUUUUGGUAAUGACUGACUGAGAUGGUUCUGGAUACCAUUUAUUUAUGUAGAUGAAAUUUUGCAUGUGCUGGUCUUGCAGUGCUGAUUUUUUUCCAUCUACAUAUGGAGUUAAUUGAAUUGCAGCAACAGAGCAAAGUUACACAGAGGUUCAAACUUCCUUUGUAUGCUUAUUGACCAAUAUCGGUUUUGGCAGGAUAAAAGACUCAAGGAGCAUUUUGAGAGCCUUCCAACCUUGGAUGAACUCCAUGCUCUUGGAAAUGAGGCUCUCAGGGCGGAUGUAAUUGUUGUAGAUGCUAAGAAAGAUAAGAAGCUGUCAAUGUUGAAGCAGUUAAUUGUGACACUGGUGAGAGGAUUGAGUGCUAAUCCUGCUUCUAUGAUAAAGAAGAUAGCUGGACUGGUAGGAUAAUUUCUCAUAACUAUCAUUGUAUUGUCUGUAUUUUCUUAUAGCACUUUGUCAUGCUAUGAGUCUCUCUUUCAUUUUACCUUACGCAUAUGUAGGUGUUGGCACUUCUUCUGUCUUGUCAUAUUUUGAUGAUGCCAUGGAUUCUACUUUUGGCCUGUAUUUAUCAGAUAGAAAUGGUUUCUUUGGAUAACAGUGUCUUGUUUCUUGUAAUGUUCAAUGAUUUUUCUGUACUAUUAACACAUGUUUCUACCUGUUAAUUGCUUCCACAGGUGUCUGACUUUCACAAAAGACCUAGUGUUGGAAGUCCUGCAAGAACUUGUGCAGAAGAAACUUAUCACAUGCUUCAGAACCGAGGUGUUCAAUUACUUGGGCAAAUAAAGCAUGGUUCAUGCCGUCCUCGAGCUAUUUUGUUCAAAGUUCUAGCAGACACUGUAGGUCUUGAAAGUAGGCUUGUGGUGGUGAGUUUUUCAGAUUUGUCUUAGCGCUUUAAUGUCUCAUAAUUUUUAGGAAUUAGUGUUGAACAUCCCUAGUGAUAUCUCUUACUACGUAUUUGCCUCCAAUGUGUUUUCCAGGGUUUGCCAAAUGACGGAUCUGUUGAGUGUACAGACUCGUAUAAGCACAUGUCUGUGAUAGUUGUGUUGAAUUCGGUGGAACUAUUGGUAGAUCUUAUGCGUUUUCCUGGUCAGUUAAUGCCACGGUCUACCCGAGCUAUUUUCAUGGCUCAUAUCUCAGCAUCUGGGGAGAGUGAUUCGGCUGAAAAUGAUUCUUGUGACUCACCGCUUGAACCAAAUAGUCCUCUUUAUCCUGACAGGCAAGCUUACAUUCACCCUGAAACAUGAUUUCCGCGAUCUCUGUAAAAUGAAGUUUAGCGUGAUCAAUUUUUGUUCCUCUUUUGCUACAGUGCUGAAAAAGAUGAGGGUCUUCAGUUCCAUCGCAAAUUAGAAGGAUCUUCAAAUGCUUCUGGCCCUGCAUUGAGAAAUAUGAUGUUACGUUCUACUUCAUGUCUGGAUAGAAAAUUAAGGCAUGCAGUGUCUUUCCCUCUGAAUAAUCGUUGUUGCAUUGAUUUGUUUCAUGUUGCUCUGUAUAAUUGACUGAAUUUUUGGUGUGCUUGUUUUUUGCGUGCAUGCAUACUACAUUUAAUUUUGUAUUGAACUGUUUCCUUUCUGUCCUUUUUGUUUCCCAUUUUUGCUUCAGUUUAUCGCAUAGUGAUCCCAAUAUCGCUGCAACAUUUUGGCGGCGUAGCCGGAAAAAGGUGUUAGCUGAACAGCGGACUGCUAGUUCAAGGUUUCUUUUCGUUUGACCUUUACAUUCCAAUCAACGUGUUCGAAACUAGCUGUGAUGCUUUGGUGUUAGCUCUGAUUUCUUCCCUCUCUAAUGUCACUCUGUCGUGAUGGACAUGCUUCUGAAAAUUGCUAUGAUGUUUUGGUGUUCAAAUAAUGGUAAUUUAAACCAUCUUGCUGGCCUUCUUUACUUUGUGUCAGUAUUGCCUUAAUUUAUAAUAGGAGACUCCUGAAUGAAAAUCCUCUAUUUUUCAUGCCUUCGAUGAUGCAUUAUUUUGCAGUCCAGAGCAUCCAUCAUUAAGGGUACGUGGAAGGUCUAUGCUAGGUGGUGACAGGCACUCGAUUAGAGAUUAUCCCGAGGAUGUAGCCAGCUCAAGGUUCUUUUUCUUUUUUUUCCUAUGUUGAAUGCAUGAGCAAUGGUUUUGGGACAAAAGUCUAGGAUUUUAUUGAAGAUACUAUUACCGUUUCUUGAAUUCGUUUUACUUUUAUUUGUCCAAAUCCUGUAAAUGUAGGUUGACGGACAGAUUGCAUGUAAUUUGGAUGUUCAUGGUUGUUUUCCAAUGCUUGUGCACUUAUUAAUAUAAUGGACUACAGUGAUCCGAGUGUUUUAGUUGAAACCGUCAUUUGAGAUAGAUGAUAGGUUAUGGCUGUUUAGAGUUAAGCCCAUGUCUUAUUCAGCAAGGUGUUUAGAUCCGUUUCACUGAACAUUUCCUCCUUGGCUUUUUCUAAUAUUCAUCAAUGGUCUUAACUACAGAUCAGAAGGAGCAUCAACGUCAUCGGCGACUCGUAGAUUAAGAAGAAGGAGCAUGAGCAUGACCCCGGAGAUUGGUGAUGAUAUCGUCAGGUUGAUAUUUCUUCAACUUUUAUGAUAAUUAGACACCCUACCAAGACAUGACAAAAAUUAUAGGCUCUUAAGAUAGUCAUUCUGGAGAUAAAUCCUUUUGUACAUGUAUAUUUGACAAACCGUGCAAGAAAUAAAUCAGCCCAAAUUAUACAACUUGCCCAAAGGGAGUAAGCUGUUUGCCUCCAUCAUUUUCUAUACUUCACUUGAGUUUCUGUUAUUGUUGUUAUCUUGUACUGGAUUGAAGAGGUAUAGGAAAGAUUAGCCUUGUUCACAUUAACUGGCUGUCUUGUGUCCAUAAGUACAAAAGUAAGAAGACCUCUGUGAUACUAAGGCUUUCAGGUAAGCACAUCUAAGGUUUAGGUUGAAGAUUUGAUGGGGAAUAAAUGGACGGACGGGUAAAAAUUUAACAAUGAAAUACUAUUGAAGCUCUCUUGAAGUGCAACGAUCUGAAAUAUAGCUUUUGAGGCAAACUUGAAGUAUUCGAGCUUAAACUUGAAACUUAUCAUUUUUAAUGUUGUAGAUUUGUUUAUCGAGUAAUUUUUUUUUUCAAAUGUGACAACUUAAAUGAUGAUUUAAUCUGCGUUUGUUUCAGGGCUGUGCGUGCCAUGAAUGAAAGUAUGAAGCAAAACCGUCUAGUGAGGGAGCAAGGAGAUGGCACAUUUUCUACUAUUAACUCAAAUGACAAGGACGGCCAAUCAGAUCUUCAAAAUAAUGUACGGUUCGUAUGAGCAAUGCAAAACCAUCUUAACGUUGCUGCAUAUGUCAUAAUUUGUCCUUCUUAACUUUGCUUUGUUUGGCCUAAAUCCUAUGUCCUGUGUCUUCUUUCAUGGUUUGCAUCCCGUUUCAGCACUCACCGCCAGAGUUUGCCUCAUAUUGUUAUUUUUCAUCUAAGUGAUCGUAGGAAAGCUUGUUUGAUUAGUUUUAUUAUGUCUUCAAUUAGGCUCAAGUAUGAGUUCAGGAAUAAACUAGAAGAGUCCUCAGGAGAUAAAAGGAAUAUGUUAUAUUUUGUUAGUUUUCUGGCUUCAUUCAUUGUGACUGGCGGCCCUAUGCUUUGUUUCAGCUAUCUAGCAGAAAGCCUGCCUUGUAUGCUCUUCAGGUGGAUCACAAAAACUCUCAGAAGGCAAUGUCACUACCGUCCUCUCCGCAUGGAUAUAGCAGCCAAGCACUGGAGAGAUAUGAGCCUUCAAGCUCUUCGACAAAUGUUGAAUUUGUCUCAAUGUGGAAUAAAGUCCUUGAAUCGCCCAUGUUCCAGAAUAAACCUCUGUUACCUUAUGACGAAUGGACUAUUGACUUUUCAGAAAUAAGUGUCGGAACUCGUGUUGGGAUAGGUAAGACCAUCUAACUGUUUUAAUCUGUUUAUGUCCUCUUCAAAUGUCAGAUUUUAUGAACGUACAGUCUUUUACAUUACCCAAUGAUAUAAGGGGGUUUCAAUUUCGGGCAUGUUAUUAGUGGUAGUUGGGAUCGUGGAUGCCUCAAUUUUGCAGAAAUUAUGCCAAUUUUGGGCAUGUUAUAUGUGCUUUUCCAGAAUAAUCUAAACUUAAAUAUUGCAGCAUGCUUUCUUAACAUAUGUAUGGAGAGAUUUAUUUACUUCCAUUUUCUUGAACAUUCUCUUUACUAGGUUUUUUCGGUGAAGUUUUCCGUGGUGUAUGGAACGGAACAGAAGUUGCUAUCAAAGUCUUCUUAGAGCAAGAUCUAACAGCUGAAAACAUGGAAGACUUUUGCAAUGAAAUAUCCAUUCUUAGGUAUUUCUUGGUGAUCAGCCAACCUCUUUUAAGUUUUGUGAAAUUACCCAAAUAUUCCACUAAUUGAAUUGUCUUUUUGCUGUUCCUGCAUCGUUCUUCUUCCAGUCGUCUGCGGCAUCCUAAUGGUAAUUCCUCUUUUCUCAAUACUUCUAUCAUUAAUUUCCUUAUACCCUAAAAUACAUUUUACGGCUCUUUAUUAUACUUACAUCCAUCACUAGUUACUUGAACAUCAUGGACUUCUGGUUCCACCUUGAAUUUCUUCAUAUGUUUCAUCAGUCAGUCAGUUGAUUCAUCCUGCUCUUGCAGUCAUAUUGUUUCUGGGUGCUUGUAUAAAGCCUCCACGAUUGUCAAUGGUCACGGAGUACAUGGAAAUGGGAUCCUUGUAUUACCUGAUCCAUAUGAGUGGCCAGAAGAAGAAACUUAGUUGGCGGAGGCGGCUUAAAAUGCUGCGUGAUAUAUGCAGGUAUUCCAUCUCACUCCCUAAUUUUCUCUUGUUUCAUUUGCCUUAACACUUGGUGCACUCACAAGGACAUUUGUUUUUCUGUUGUCGUAACUGAUUUCAGAGGGCUGAUGUGUAUACACCGGAUGAACAUAGUCCACCGUGAUCUCAAGAGCGCAAAUUGUCUAGUGAACAGGCAUUGGACCGUAAAGAUCUGCGAUUUCGGCCUAUCGAGAAUCAUGAUGACAAAACCGGUCGUCGACUCGUCUUCAGCUGGAACCCCGGAAUGGAUGGCUCCUGAACUCAUCCGCAGCGAACCUUUCACCGAGAAAUGCGACAUUUUCAGCCUUGGCGUUUUAAUGUGGGAGCUCUGCACUCUCAACAGACCUUGGGAAGGAGUCCCUCCUGAAAGAGUACAAAACUCCUGUUCACUUCUGCUUUUAUAUAUUUUGUAGAGGAAUGAAUUAGGAGUUGUUUGCUAAUGAUGAUACCUCCCCCUGAGUUCUGGUCAAACAUGAUAGUAGAUAACACUCUGUACCAAACGACCGCCUAAGUAGGUCUUUAUCUGUUUGCUUGCUUGCUCUCAGGUUGUGUAUGCUGUUGCGAACGAGGGAUCACGGCUGGAGAUCCCUGAAGGUCCUCUGGGAAGGCUGAUUUCAGGUAACGACGAUUAAACGGAAUUUUCGCAUAGCGAACUAAAGAAAAUUCGAUAGGAAGCCAUUUUAAUCGAGGUAUUCGUCCUUCAUUUUGGCAGACUGCUGGGCGGAACCGGAUCAGCGGCCAAGCUGCGAAGAAAUACUGUCUCGGUUGCUCGACUGCGAGUACACCCUUUGCUGAAAAACUGAAAAAACAGAAUCCCUUUCCCUUCUUCUUAUGUACAGAGAAACAUGGUAAGAGUGUUGGUACGUUGUUCUAUCUCGGCUUUUAUGUUGUUAGAUUUUCUUCUUUCUUUCUUUCUUGUUCCUCCAAAAUCACAGCCAUAAAGAACCAGACUCAGCUUAUUUUUGGUACAAUUUCUAACAUGGUCUUCGGCAUCUGUUUGUGGCAACACAUGCACUAUGUUCGGCUAGACCGACGUUGACUUGGUCGUUUGUUUCUUGGUGGUCUCGAGUUCAAUUCAAGGGUUGUGCGCGGCUCAAAUUUUAAAAAUCUACAGUUCUGGCUUAGCUCCAUAUCAACCAUUAAGUUGGUUUGAUAAUCUUAACGAGUCCCCCUUGAGCUCGACAUAAAAACCCUAACUUUUAAGAGUUCACCUUUAGUUUCAGCUCGAAUCUAACGAGAUGACAAUGGAUUUAUUUAAUCUUCGACAUGUUUGAGCUAACUCACUGGUCACAAAUCAAGCCGGCUUCAACGAGUAUGCAAGCCCGGCCAGCUCGUUUAUCGUCAAUAUGGCUCGCAACUCACAAGAUGCCUCAUUUAGUAUUUAACUGAAUCCUGAACGAGCUUUUAGUAAAUUUUCGAAGCCACUCUGUAAAGCUCUAACGAUUGCAUUUCACUGAGACUUAACUAAUUGUCCAGUUGCGUUGAUAUAAGAUUCAUUCUGCGACUGUGCACGAUUCAUUCUCGACGGUGCACGAGUCAUUCUAGACAUCUCGCAAAGCCCGUCCCGUACAAUGAAUGAUGUACAUAUUGAUGCAUGACAAACUACUUUCAUAUGAGCCAAUAGCUUCCUUCAGCUCUCAAUAGUAUCUUACGAAACCAUUAAAAAUCUUAUAAAGAGAUGCACAAGAGAAAACAUGCUAACCAAAAGCAAUGUACAAGUAUUGGGCACAAAUUCUCGACCUUAAUACUUUGAUUUGACCAAAAGCCAUACUGAUCCAAACCGGUAAGACCCAUACUCGAGCUCGAAGCCGUAACCCAACCACUAGAAAUCCUCAUGUUUGUCUAUAAACACAUCAUGUCAUCAUCGACAUGAAAAAUCACCAACUUACACAGCAAGAUUCUGAGUUCCCAUCUUCACCUUUGUCUGUUCCCCGCAUAAAUCACACUAUUGCAAGUCAUGAUAGUUCUUAACUACUAAAGCCAGUUUAACAAAUGGACAUCUGAACCACACCGAAAACAAUUAAAAUACGAAACACCACACGGAGCAGGUAGCGAUACCGCCACAACCCCGCAGGGGAGUGGGGGUGAAGCCCCCCCCCCCCCCCCCCCCCAGCCUUCAGUCACGUCACUGCAGCACAAGUUAACAGAUUAUGAUGAGGUUAAUCCGACAAGUAACUUGAGGAAACGAGCCGGCAAUGGCUGCAGAGUUCAACGUACCUCGGCUUCAUCUGCUCCACUGGCUUUGCCGCCGCCAUUCACCUUCUGUGCAUCUUCUGUUAGGGGGAGGGAAUAUCAGAGACUUACAGAAGGGAAGCAACAUGCUUCAUACAACUGCGAAACUAGAAAAAAAUGUGUAACCCGGAUUAAAUGCACUAAGUUAGUGGUAACGAAAAGUCUCACCUCCAUCAUCUAUGUCAGAAGUCCACAAGGUGAGGUUGUCUCUAAGAAGCUGCAUUAUCAAAGUGCUGUCCUUGUAAGAUUCUUCAUUUAGAGUGUCGAGUUCUGAGAUGGCUUCAUCAAAGGCUUGUUUUGCAAGGUGGCAGGCCCUGAUGGAAAUAUAAAAAUCACAUUGAAUGAGAUGGUUGAUGAGCUUCAGCUUCCUGGUUAUGGAGUAAAGGGGGCUCAGGCAUUCGGUGCAUACCUUUCGGGUGAAUUCAGUAUCUCGUAAUAGAAGACCGAGAAAUUCAAUGCCAAGCCCAGUCUGAUUGGGUGUGUAGGAGGUAAAUCGGCCUCUGCCAAAGUAGUAGCUUUCUGCAAGCAAGUAUAAGAAAAUUAGUACAUUCUCUUACUAUUUUUUUACACGAUUACAGCAUUGUCACCAAAAUAGCAAUCAUUUCUCAACUCUAGGGAAUGAAAUCACUGAAUCGAUCAGACGUCAUGUAUUAAGGCAGUGAUCAAAUCCAGUUAGACAAGCUGGUAUCACGAUUACACGGAUCUAAUCAUGCAGCAUUUCGAGCUUAAGCACGAACAAAAGACAUUCAAUGUGAUGACCACGCAUCAGAAAAACAAUCAGAGAGAGGCUCUACUUAAAGUUGCCAACUAAACCAACUACAUCAAAACCAUGCAAGAACUAAACUAGGGGCAAUGCCCAGGAAGUGGAAGUCGAGAUACCUCAUAAGCUUUCAUCGAGUUUUCGCCAGCUUCCUUCUUCUCAUUCCCACUCUUGAAUUCAGCAAGAUACCUAUAGUAAUCUCCCUUCCUACAAAACCAUCAAAUGAAGUAGCCGAGAGUGAAAAUCGAAUACUAUAACGAGUCAAGCAAAACUGAACUGCACCUUCCAAUUUGUUUUGGCUCACAUCUUGUAGUAGAAGAUGGCGGAUUCUCCAGUAGGAGCAGCAGGUAUGAGAUGCUCAUCAAUCACAACCAUGACAUCGUUGCAGAUAUCGGUCAGCUCAUUCUCGACUUUGGUCCUGUACUCUUUAAUCCUCUUAGCAUUCACUUCGUUGCCUCUCGACUCUUCCUUCUGCUCAAUGGACGACAGAAUCCUCCACGACGCUCGCCGAGCACCGAUCACGUUCUUGUAGCCAACAGAGAGCAAGUUCCUCUCCUCGAUCGUCAGCUCCACAUCUAGCUUCGCCAAAUUCUUCAUCGCUUCCACCAUUUCUGCAACGUAAAGCAGAUUAAACAAUCGGAUUUCUACUUAUCAGCUCCGAUGCAAAUUAGGUCAUAAGAGCGACUUGAUUUUCUCAAGUGAAGAGGAAUCGGAGAGCAAAAGAAGUCGAGCAAAAUUCUGGAGGAAUCGCUUACCUUCGUAGCGUUCAGCUUGCUCGGCGAGCUUGGCAGUGUAGACGAAUUGGUCUCUUUCAGCCAUGGCGAUAGAGGAAGGUAAAGCUCUGAUUGAACCAGAAAUGGUGCGAGUUGGUGAAGAGUGAGAGAGUAGGAGGAUGAAGAAGAAGAAAUCAAUGAGAGGUUUUAUGAAGGACAAGGACAGAAAUGGAACUUCACAGCUGGGAGUGGGUGGGGGGUAAAAGUGUCAAAUCGCGUCACGCUUGUCGGAUUAGCUGUCGGAAUGUUUUCAUUUGCUUCUCUUUCUUCUCUUUCCGGUACAACUUUACCGUCUGCAUAUAAAAAUAAUAAAGGAGUCGUCGUCGUCGCCGGCGUAAUGAAAAAGUCAAAUUGACUGCGUAAAAGACAAUUAAGAGUAAUUUUUACUACUAAAUAAGAAAAGAGCCAACGACACUGUCAACAUUUCCUCGUCCAUGUCGAAAAUAAAUCAAGAUCGAAAUGAAAGAGACAUGAAUCCAUAAUGGUUUAAUUGUACGCAAUCAGAUUAUAUAAAAGUUAAAGGUAACGAAUCGCAUAUUACAAAAUAUGUAAGAAUCAACGUUGAAACAUAAAAAAGAAGUUAAAAUAUUAUCGUCGGAGUGAGUGUGACUGACUCCUGCCUUGAAAGACUCUCCGAUGUUUGCUACGGGGCGAAACCAACGGCAUUUUUGUACACAUGAUAAGUAGCACCAUGGCUCCAUCACCUUGAAAGCGUGUAUGUGUUUUCAGUUAAAGUUUGUGUAACCGUAACCUUUUACUGUAACUGAUGCUCCACUUUGCUGCAUAAAGCAAAGGCAGUUUCGGUUUAGCUGUUUGCAAAAAGUUGUUGACGUCCCCGCGUUUCAUUAUUACCUCGGAGAGGUUCAAAUUAUAAAGCUGUAGGGACAGUGGCACGAGCCAUGUUUUGGAAGGGGCACUGGCGCUUGCUGUUUAAGGUUAUACAAAUGAGUUCGAGUUCGGCUAGAGUAAUUGGUUAAGUUCGUUUGCAAGUCUUAACAAGUCGAGUAAUUGGAUAAACUCAAUUUAGUAAUGGUACGAGCUGAUUCGCGAGCCAACCGAGCCUAGCCAGGGUUGGCUCGUGCUCACAUCGUGUAUUAUCGUGCAGGCUCACAAGAAGGCUUGUUUUGAAAUCGAGUCGAGUCUCGAUCAAUUUUUUUUCCUGAGCCGAACGACCGAAUUGCUGCAAGACAUAGACCGAGCAGCAAUAACCAGUACACACAGCUGAAGAAGCAGUCCAGCUUUGAACUCAUAUUAGCACAUCGACUAUAUCGUCUAGGUUGCGGGUUCGGCUUAAGAACCUUGCGCUAUAAACCAUUAGUCUCAACGGCUCAACCCUGGUACCAUUUCACUGAACUAGCCGAAAAUCAGCACUAGCCAGAAGGUGGUAAAAAAUGUGAACCCGAUGCUUUUUCCAUCAAGCAUCAUCAUACUUCAGUUGGAUCACAAUAACAGAACACAGAUUGCAGAGUACUGGACACUGUUUAUUAAUUUGGUACAAACUUACAAGUUUACAUUACAGGAUUGCUUCUCCAUUCACAAAGAAGAAAAAGCAAAGUGCACGCAAUUCGAGGGAGCCAUAGAAGAGGGAAGACUUUAUUUUUCAUAGAAAGCUAUAACUUAAACAAGCUCAGCUUUAGUAUGCCGCAAGCGUUACGAAAAAACAACAAAACUACGCAGAGAAGACUUGAAUGGCAAGGAAGAUAGAUGACAAAGGUUUAGCCUGUGUUUUGAAGGCCGGCAGCAAUACCUUUCAUGGUCAGAAUGAGAGUGUCUUCCAGGCCGGGAGCAUACUCGCUCGUCGGGUUAAGCUUCAACAGCUCAGCAGCGGGCUUCAUCCCAUCGUUGUAUUCCUUGGACAGGUGGGGCCUCAGGGCCACGUGGUAGUCAGGGUCUCGAACACGCUUCAGGGUGUAAGCUUGGGAGACGUUGAGGGUUGUGAUAUAUGCAUCGCGGAGACGAAGCCUCUGCUUCAGGUAUGGAUCUCCUUCCAACACUUCUUUGUGGCCAGCAAUCUGUAAUAAUGGAUACAAAGGGUUGCUUGAUUCGUUUCGUUAUCGUUCUUGAUAUGUUAUAAACUUAAAAUGGUAAAAUUCAUGAAUAAGUUACCUGGAGGAGGAAGUCCUUAGUUUGAAGGUACUUGGAUCUCAACUGGUCACCAAACGGACGCAAUUCUGGUGACACGAGGAGCUUGUCGUACAGAGCAGCAAUCUCGGGAUCGCCCUUGGCGAAAACCAUUUCGACCAGAUCAAUCGUGACUCGGAAGAACGGCCACUGGUUGUACAUAUCUUGAAGCAUUUUGAGGUUUUUGAUAUCCUUGUCGAUAACAUGCUUGAAAGCAGCUCCGAAGCCGAGCCAUACUGGUAAAUGGAAUCUUGUCUGUGUCCAGGCGAAAAUCCAUGGGAUCGCACGAAGCGAUUCUAUGCCUCCGCUUGGCUUUCUCCUCUCGACUCUUCCUUCUGCUCAAUGGACGACAGAAUCCUCCACGACGCUCGCCGAGCACCGAUCACGUUCUUGUAGCCAACAGAGAGCAAGUUCCUCUCCUCGAUCGUCAGCUCCACAUCUAGCUUCGCCAAAUUCUUCAUCGCUUCCACCAUUUCUGCAACGUAAAGCAGAUUAAACAAUCGGAUUUCUACUUAUCAGCUCCGAUGCAAAUUAGGUCAUAAGAGCGACUUGAUUUUCUCAAGUGAAGAGGAAUCGGAGAGCAAAAGAAGUCGAGCAAAAUUCUGGAGGAAUCGCUUACCUUCGUAGCGUUCAGCUUGCUCGGCGAGCUUGGCAGUGUAGACGAAUUGGUCUCUUUCAGCCAUGGCGAUAGAGGAAGGUAAAGCUCUGAUUGAACCAGAAAUGGUGCGAGUUGGUGAAGAGUGAGAGAGUAGGAGGAUGAAGAAGAAGAAAUCAAUGAGAGGUUUUAUGAAGGACAAGGACAGAAAUGGAACUUCACAGCUGGGAGUGGGUGGGGGGUAAAAGUGUCAAAUCGCGUCACGCUUGUCGGAUUAGCUGUCGGAAUGUUUUCAUUUGCUUCUCUUUCUUCUCUUUCCGGUACAACUUUACCGUCUGCAUAUAAAAAUAAUAAAGGAGUCGUCGUCGUCGCCGGCGUAAUGAAAAAGUCAAAUUGACUGCGUAAAAGACAAUUAAGAGUAAUUUUUACUACUAAAUAAGAAAAGAGCCAACGACACUGUCAACAUUUCCUCGUCCAUGUCGAAAAUAAAUCAAGAUCGAAAUGAAAGAGACAUGAAUCCAUAAUGGUUUAAUUGUACGCAAUCAGAUUAUAUAAAAGUUAAAGGUAACGAAUCGCAUAUUACAAAAUAUGUAAGAAUCAACGUUGAAACAUAAAAAAGAAGUUAAAAUAUUAUCGUCGGAGUGAGUGUGACUGACUCCUGCCUUGAAAGACUCUCCGAUGUUUGCUACGGGGCGAAACCAACGGCAUUUUUGUACACAUGAUAAGUAGCACCAUGGCUCCAUCACCUUGAAAGCGUGUAUGUGUUUUCAGUUAAAGUUUGUGUAACCGUAACCUUUUACUGUAACUGAUGCUCCACUUUGCUGCAUAAAGCAAAGGCAGUUUCGGUUUAGCUGUUUGCAAAAAGUUGUUGACGUCCCCGCGUUUCAUUAUUACCUCGGAGAGGUUCAAAUUAUAAAGCUGUAGGGACAGUGGCACGAGCCAUGUUUUGGAAGGGGCACUGGCGCUUGCUGUUUAAGGUUAUACAAAUGAGUUCGAGUUCGGCUAGAGUAAUUGGUUAAGUUCGUUUGCAAGUCUUAACAAGUCGAGUAAUUGGAUAAACUCAAUUUAGUAAUGGUACGAGCUGAUUCGCGAGCCAACCGAGCCUAGCCAGGGUUGGCUCGUGCUCACAUCGUGUAUUAUCGUGCAGGCUCACAAGAAGGCUUGUUUUGAAAUCGAGUCGAGUCUCGAUCAAUUUUUUUUCCUGAGCCGAACGACCGAAUUGCUGCAAGACAUAGACCGAGCAGCAAUAACCAGUACACACAGCUGAAGAAGCAGUCCAGCUUUGAACUCAUAUUAGCACAUCGACUAUAUCGUCUAGGUUGCGGGUUCGGCUUAAGAACCUUGCGCUAUAAACCAUUAGUCUCAACGGCUCAACCCUGGUACCAUUUCACUGAACUAGCCGAAAAUCAGCACUAGCCAGAAGGUGGUAAAAAAUGUGAACCCGAUGCUUUUUCCAUCAAGCAUCAUCAUACUUCAGUUGGAUCACAAUAACAGAACACAGAUUGCAGAGUACUGGACACUGUUUAUUAAUUUGGUACAAACUUACAAGUUUACAUUACAGGAUUGCUUCUCCAUUCACAAAGAAGAAAAAGCAAAGUGCACGCAAUUCGAGGGAGCCAUAGAAGAGGGAAGACUUUAUUUUUCAUAGAAAGCUAUAACUUAAACAAGCUCAGCUUUAGUAUGCCGCAAGCGUUACGAAAAAACAACAAAACUACGCAGAGAAGACUUGAAUGGCAAGGAAGAUAGAUGACAAAGGUUUAGCCUGUGUUUUGAAGGCCGGCAGCAAUACCUUUCAUGGUCAGAAUGAGAGUGUCUUCCAGGCCGGGAGCAUACUCGCUCGUCGGGUUAAGCUUCAACAGCUCAGCAGCGGGCUUCAUCCCAUCGUUGUAUUCCUUGGACAGGUGGGGCCUCAGGGCCACGUGGUAGUCAGGGUCUCGAACACGCUUCAGGGUGUAAGCUUGGGAGACGUUGAGGGUUGUGAUAUAUGCAUCGCGGAGACGAAGCCUCUGCUUCAGGUAUGGAUCUCCUUCCAACACUUCUUUGUGGCCAGCAAUCUGUAAUAAUGGAUACAAAGGGUUGCUUGAUUCGUUUCGUUAUCGUUCUUGAUAUGUUAUAAACUUAAAAUGGUAAAAUUCAUGAAUAAGUUACCUGGAGGAGGAAGUCCUUAGUUUGAAGGUACUUGGAUCUCAACUGGUCACCAAACGGACGCAAUUCUGGUGACACGAGGAGCUUGUCGUACAGAGCAGCAAUCUCGGGAUCGCCCUUGGCGAAAACCAUUUCGACCAGAUCAAUCGUGACUCGGAAGAACGGCCACUGGUUGUACAUAUCUUGAAGCAUUUUGAG